rnacentral:lncRNA from 1 species
GGCACCACUACGCCGCCGCCGAGCAAUAACAAGUACUGCUCCCUCUUUCCUCGUACCUUUUAGUUUGUUCGAUUGAGUGAGUUUAUUUUGUUUGCCAUUGCUGUAGUAUAGUUUUAUUUGCUUCACUUUGCAACCAUUGUGGUUGGUGAAAUUGGUGAUGACUUAUAAAUGGGAGAAUUGUACGGGCUUUUAAAAGGGGUAAUUUGUAAUAUUUAUCGUAACACCUAAAAAAUGAGAAAUCUUUUGCCAAGAUUGUCUUGAUUCCUAUUAUAUUUUUCCUUCUAAAGUUAUAAUCUUUGCGACAUGGAAGACAUCACGUUAUUAUUAUUAUUUUUUUAAAUUACAUUAUUUUUCACUAUUUAUAAUUAAAAAAAAUAAAACCUUUGAGUACAAAAAUAAAUACUGUCUUGUAACAAAUUGAAUAGAGGAUCUUGAAUUUAUCUUAAAAGCUACUUUAUAUUAAUUAAUUUUAAAAAUACAAAUUAAUUUCUUUCUAUAUAUUUUGUUCUUUUUACUGAGAAAUUGUUUUCAAAUUAUAAAUAAAAUAAUUAAAUUUCAAGAUAAAAAAUAAAUUUAAAAAAUUUAAAGUCUAUUUAAUAAAAUAAAUUUAAAAUUAGAAGGAAAUAAAAAAUGUUUAUUUUAAAGUUUAUUUAAAAAUGAUUUAAUAUAUUCAAAAUUCAAACAAAAAUUAAAAAGUCAGAAUAAAAUAAAACCCAUGCACCUUUUUUAUCUAUGAUAAUUAGGGAACACAUCAAAAUUAUGAUUUAGUUUUCAUCAUCAAUUCUAUAAUCAAUAUUCCUCAAAUCCAUGAUGGUUUUAUUAAAUUUAUUGAGGUGGUAUUUAAUGGGCGUAUCAUAUUUUAUCUAGAAAGUGAACAACCAUUUUUUUAAAUGCAAACGAUUUGUAAGAUACUUCGUUAUAUACAAACUUUCUAACUUCAAUCAUAACUUGCUAGUCAUUUCUUCUUCUAAAACUUCAUGAAGUACCUCGUUAUCCCAAGCAUAAUAGAAUAAUACUAUGUACUUUCUCCAUAAGUUCAUCAUUCUUUUUAUUGGACAUCGAUCUUGAUAGAGCCUCUCUACCUUUCAGUCCUUUGGACAACCCCUAUUAAACUAUUAAGGCAGAUAUAUUAACAUGCCACAAACCAAAAUCAUUUCUUUCAUCAAACUUCUUAACCUUAAACUUUAUUGUCAUUCCAGGUCUAGUAACCUAAGCUCUUAUGCCAAUUUGUUAUGCAAAACCACGAUAAAGAAUAAUAAUAAGGGGAAAAAAAAUAAGAAAAUGAAAACAAAACACACGUGAUUUGACCUUAAGCCUACAUCCAUGGGUGAAGAUAAAAGAAGAACUUUCACUAUUAGUUGUUGAACGAGAUUACAAACCUUCUCAAAUUCCAAAGUCUCAAUUUAUACCAAAAAAAAAAAAAAAAUCACUCUUUUGGUAAAAAAAACUUUUUAUAUUUUUUUUUCCUAAUUACAAAGGAAGAUUCCAUAUAAGAAACUAAGUAUAUAAUUAUCAAAUAUGUUUUUUUCAAAAAAAAAAAAUCAUAAUAGAAUAUUUCUUAUAAUAAUAUGAAACCCACUUACAAGAAUAUCUUCUAUUAAUAAACUAUCAAUAACUUUUCAAUUGAUUCAAAAAUAAAAUUUGAGAUACUUUCCGACAUAUUCUGUUGAACAAGAUGAGUUCAAUUAGAAAAUUAUAUUGCAAUAAUUCAUUUAAAGUGAUAGAUAAUAUGAAAGUGUGUAGGUUUGAGUUUAACAAAAAUGCAUUUGAAAUAAUGAGAUAUGAUUAAAGGGUUUGAAUGCUUUGGGGGAUGGCGUGUUUUCAUGUGGCUGUAUAUUAAUUGAUUAGUUAGAAUUGAGUCUUUUUUUGGUUUGGUAACCGGGAACCAUUUAUUCGCAGCGCUACAAAAGGCGAAAGUUCAAAUGAUGAGCAUCUAAUUGAUAUUGAUACUCUAGUUUGGAAUGAUACCGAUGAAGCGUCAAAUGCAAGAGAAAGGACUCCAAGUAUACCAAAGAUUCCGACCGCUUUGAGAAAUAGUCAAAAUCAAAAGUUGCCUGGGUGGUUUAAACCAAACGUGAUUUCAAUUGGUCCCUAUUACUAUGGUCAAAAGGAUUACCAGGAAGCACAAAAGCUCAAGUCUGGGCAUGCUAAGAAGUUCAUUGAGGAAAGUCAGCAGGAGAAAGAUGUUUUGUACCUCAAAAUUAAGAAAAAGACACCGGAACUGAGGAAGUGCUAUGAUAAUAAGGCAAUAUGGGAAUGCUAUGAUAAUAAGACAAAAGGGGAAAUGUCCGACCGGAAACUGGCGACGAUUUUCUUGCUGGACGGGUGUUUUUUACUACAUUUCAUCAACUACAGCAGCAAGAAGGAUGGGUCUGAUAUUUUGGGUUUUACAAAUCAUGAAAUGGCUCAUAUAAAAGAGGACUUGUUCUUGCUGGAGAACCAACUUCCCUAUAAAGUCCUCAAGCUGCUGUUCAAGGACGCAAAAAAUUCAAAACCGUCGAUGGAAGAAAAGAUAAAAGAUUUCGUUGCAUCUCAUGUCCCCUUCCCUCGAGGAAUACGGGUAAAAGAAGUGAAUCCUAAACCCUGCCAUCUGCUCCACUAUUUGCAAGGCGUCAUUUUAGGCAAACCGGUAACAAUUAGCCCAACACAAAAACAGGACGAAGAAGACGAUGGACGUGGGAGAGGGAGACCCGAAUGGCACUCAUGUGAAAACGUCCACGAGCUUAGGAAAGUGGACAUCCAUUUUAAGUCCAGUCCCACAAGUUAUUUGACAGAUAUUUCUUUCGAGCCUCUCUUUGGCACCACCGGAUGCCUCAAGCUUCCUACCAUUUCCAUGAACGCCUCCACUAUGAUAAUUUUCUUAAACUUGGUAGCCUUCGAAUCCUCAGAUACCACUAACAACCUUGGUGUAAUCUCUUACCUAUGCUUCCUGGAUUCACUUAUUGCUCGUUGGGACGACGUGAAGGAGCUUCAGGCAGCCGGAAUACUCCGUAACUUUUUUGGCGAACAAAGAGACGUGGCCCAAUUUUUCAACAACGUAUGCAGCAAAUUGGUACCAAAUCCUUCUGCUUAUGAAGAUGUAAAACUACAGAUUCAAAGUCAUGUUGACAGACACCACAAUUGCAGAUUGCGCAAAUGGCAUGUUCAGUGCAAGCAAAAAUACUUCAGUAGCCCCUGGAGUUUGAUGGCUUUGACUGCUGCAGUUAUAGGACUAUCGCUUACUGCCAUUCAGACUUACACAUCAGUGUUUCCCCUGUAGUCCACAACUGAUGAGGUACCCUCUUACUCCCAACUCCCACUCUUGUCUUGUCUACAUACUUGCACUACUCAUGCAAAGGGCCUAUCUGAAGAGCUGGAUCUGACAGGCGUCAUCUCCUGCACUACUCAUAUAGAUACAUUUUCAGUCCAUCAUGCCUAGCCACUUAUUUAAUUUGGAGUGUUUUACGGGAAAAUUGUGCUUGAGGCCCUGAUGGGCCUGAAAAUUUAUAUUUUUGUGUGGGGCUUUGUUAAAAGAAUGCAUCUUCUCAUGGAAGAAAAACCUGGUGUAUUUAACAUUAUCUAAUUUUGUGUGUGCCAUUCGUACGAAUAAUUUGUAAUUUACGCUAGAACCGGGUGUAUUUAACAUAAUCUAAUUUUGUGUGUUCCAUUGGUACGAAUAAUUUGUAAUUUAUGCUUAAUGGUGAUUGUAAGAUGUGUAUUUCAUCUAUAUUUAAAAAAAAAAAUAGAUAUUUGAUAUAUUUAGAACACACUUUUAAAAAUCUAAACAAUAAUAGGAAAAAAUCACUUAUAAUGUUUUUUGAAAAAACAUUUAUGAGUGAUUCUCCUAAAAAUAUUUUUAGAAAAAAUAUUUACAUUAAAAAUACUUUGGAUAAAAACGUUUUCAAAAAUAGAUAAUUAUAAUAUUUAAAAUGUAUUUGACCGUAAUUUUAGAAAGUUUCUAAUUUUUUAAUAUUUGAAAUUUUUUAUAUUUUAAGUAUUAUUAAUGUUAAAAAUAUUUCUUAAAGAUUAUUGUCAAAUAUAUUCUUAGAACUCGUUAUACAAUAAUUUUAGGAAAGAAUUUUAAUAUUUUUAAAACUUAAAAAAUUUUAUCAUUUAAAUAUUAAAAAUAUUAAAAACGUUUCCUAAAAUCACUCGGGAUUUUACUCUACUUCAUUUCCAGAUAUUACAAAAUACAUCUUUAGCCUUUAAUGCUUUUCUCCUAGUUUCCUUUUUUACAUGCAUUCUUUCACAAUUGUUGAUAUAUCAUAGAAGGCAUAAAGAAAAUUUCCUUGCCUCUUCCGUUCCACCAAUCUAGACUCUUCCGUUCUAUAUGUUAUACUCUCAGUUCUAUUUCACGCUUCAGUUGUGUGAAGUAGGCUAUUGUAACACAAGAAAUUUUGGGAUAGGGUUUGAUAUGAUCAUUUUUCUUCAUCAUAUCCACCCACCAUUUAUCACAUGCAUAAGUAAUGAAUUAAAAAAAAAAUGAUAACAAGGCACUUCUUGCAUGGUUGUAUUCAUCAGAUGCAUAUAUUCGAAUUUUUAGAGUUUGCUAAGUGGUGUUAUUUAAAAAGAGUUUUUUUUUUCUUUUUUAAAAAAACAAUUAUUUUUAAUAGUUUAUAAAAUUAUUUAACAGUUAUUCUUGAAACUAGUUUUUAAAAAUAAAAUGAAAAUAAAGAAAAGUUUUCACAACACAAAUAAAAGUUUUUUUCACUUGUUUUUAAAAUAAAAUAAUAAUUUUUUAAAAAUCAUAAAAAAAAACAAAUGAAAUAGAAUAUGAUGUCUUUCUUCUUUAAUUUUUUAUUCAUUAAUCGAAAUGAAAAUCUUUAAAUAUGAUCACUUUUUCAAUUAUGCACACCCUUUGGAAUUUCUUUUAAAUACUUUAAAAAAAUUUAUUGGACAAAUAUAUUCUAAAUUAAUAACAUUCUAAGCAUAAAAUUCACUCAUUUUUAAUAAUAAUUUAAGACUCAAUUCAUAUAAUCCUAAAAUCAUCUUAUUGGUGAUAAGACAUAAAUGGCUUGUUUUGGAAGUGUUUUUAACGAUUCUAAAAAUAAUUGUUAAGAACAACUUUUACAAAUAGUUUCUCAUCACCUUUUGCCUCCCCAUCUCUCUCCAUCUCUCUUUUCAUGAUAUCUCUCUCCAUCUCUCUUUUCAUCACCUUUUGCCUCCCCAACUGCUUCUUCUAUCUCCUUUUGUCUUCACUUUACCUCAAUUUCCCUUCAUCCUUCUCUCUCCCUCUCUUUCCCACAUAUUUUCUCAUCUAAAAAUUGUUAAGAGUACUCAAACCCAUCUUCAUUGCCUAAAGUAUAUAUGGUAGUGCCGUCAUCAUCCUCUGCGACCACCAUUGCCGUUGAUUUAUUCUCUCUUGUUGGAGAAAGAAAAGCCCAUCUCUAGAGGGUUUGAAUUUUAAAUGGGUUUGGGGUUUGGUUGGAUUUGUGAUAUAAUGCAUCUUUAAUGGUUUGAGGGUUUUGUUCACUUUGUGUUUAGUAACUAAUUUCUCAAAAAAAUAGUCAUUAAAACCAUUUUUUGUUUUUUGAUGUUUUAUAAAACAAAAAUCUGUUAAGGAGCUUAAAGUAUUUUUAAUAUUUUAAAAUAUGAUUUGAAAAUAUUUUUUUUAUAUCUAGAAUUUUAUUUUUAAUUAUUUUAUAUAUUUGUAUAAUUAUUUUUUAAAAUAAUUUUCAGAAAAUAAAAAAAAUAAUUAAAAUAUAUUUUUUGUUUUUAAUAAUAGAAAACAGAAAAAUAAUUUUUUAAUUAUCAAAUGAGUUUUUAAAUUUUUUUGUUUCGAAGAACAAAAAACUAUUCUUGAAAAUAAUUGCUAAACAAACCUUAAAUGUGUUUUUUUACCAUUUUUUGGUCUCAUAAAUAUAAAACAAUUUUUGGAAACACUUUCCAAAUAUGUUUAAAACCUCUGUUUUGAUUUCAAGGGAAUAAUUAAUUAAUUUUUGUUAGCCUUUAAUUGAUAUCUAAAUUAUGAACUCUUAGAAGAAUUAUAGUAAAUUAAUUCUAUUAACUUUAAUGAUCCAGAAACAUAUGGUCUGUUGGAAUUUUAAUUCCUUGCAAAAAUUAAAAAGAAAAUAAAUUAUAUGGAGGCUUAAGUCUUUGUUUGGUUUUGAAAAAAUACCAAGGAAAAUAAAAUUUAUUAAGAAUAUAUUUUCAACAAGCCUAUUUAAUAAUUAUUUAAAAACUAAUUUCUAUCUUCUAAAACAUAAAUUUUAUAUAUAAAAUACAUUUAUAAAAGCAUUAACUAACUAACUUUAAAAUCUUAAACCUUACUACCAUAGUUUGACUGAGUAGGUUAUUGUUUUCUUUUCUUUCUUUUUUUCUUUUUUUAUUUUCCACAAGGAAAGUGUCAGGUAUUUAUCAUCAGAUGCAUUUAGUGCCCACGGAUGGAAAAUGUCAGGAUGCAUGUGCAAUUGUUGUCCUUUGAUUGAGGUGGCCCUCCAGCACCACGUGCCGUUAGGUUUAUAUUAUUAUCCACUCUCUGCAAAGGGCCCCACCAAUUCAAAGAGAGAUCAUCUUCUUCCUUCCAUAGGGCAUAGGCACACACGUUCUGGACGGCACCUCCAUCACCAAGCUCCCAAACUCAACGCCGGAACCCAGCCUACAGCGGGCGGCCCCAUCUCAACACGUACGCACCCACGACCCUCAACUCCAGCAUCUCCACCACCUCGAUAGCACCCUUCCGCACCCAUCGUAAUCUUCACUGUCUUGCUGCUACCCACACCCUGGUCACUCCCACAGCCUUCUAUACCUACCCCAUACGGAACCAGCCUUCACGCCACGGUAAACACCAAUCCCUCACGUACAACUUCACACCUCCAUACAAUCAUACGUUCUUCCACCUCCACCUCCACCACACCACAACAUCAUCACCUCACAGAACCCGUAAUCACCAUUCUGGAACAACAUCCAUACAGCUCACCACUACAAUCAUCACUUCUCAAAGCCCAUAGCACCACUGCGCCAUCCUCUGUCUACUUCCCUAAUUAGUGUAAUGUACAAUCUUUAUUAUAAUUGAUUUAGGAAUAAUUCUAGCAAGGUAGUUUAUUCACUUUCCAUGUAAGAGUAAUUUAUUCACUUUCCAUAUAAGAGUAGUUUAUUUACUUUCCAUGUAAGAGUAGUUUAUUUAAUUCACAUGUAAGAGUUUAUUCACUUUCCAUGUAAGGGAAAUUCCAUUCCGAAAUUGUCUUAUAUCCGUAGCCUAUUUAUUUAUGCUUUCAUUCAUUGUAAAGGAAAGUAUCACAAAAUGAAUUGAGGUGUUCCUCCAUAUUUUGUCUUCAAAUUCCUUCAUAUUUUUCUUCAAAUUCUUCAUGGUAUCAGAGCAGGUUUAAUCCUGUCUCAUCGUCUUCAUCUUUAGUCAGUUUUUUUUUACUCAAUUCUAUUCUUCUAAUUUAUGCCUAAAUACGGUCCAGCCUUUGGAAUGGCUACCAACUCAUUAUCCUCUACUUCUGAUAUCAUCAUCUCAUCGUCUUCAUCCUCUCAUCAGAUGGAAACCUCUCAUCUUCCAAUCACAGCCCAUAAACUGAAUGGGCAAAAUUAUUUGCAAUGGUGUCAGUCCAUAUUAAUGUUUAUACGGGGAAAGGAGAAAGAUGACUACAUCACCGGAGCUUCGGCGGCACCAAAAACCACAGCAUCAACCUACAAAAAGUGGAUAGCAGAAAAUAAUAUGGUCAUGUCCUGGCUAGUCAACUCUAUGACUGUUGACAUUGGUGAAAAUUUUCUGUCAUUUGAUACUGCCAAAGAAAUCUGGGACACUGCAAAAGAAACUUUCUCAUACAAGGAAAACACAUCUGAAAUCAUCCAGAUUGAAGGCAUCCUCCACGAUUUGUGUCAAGGAAACCUUACGGUAACUGAAUAUUUCAAUACUCUUACUCGUCUAUGGCGUCAACUUGAUACGUUUGAGAUUCAUAACUGGAAUUGUGUUACAGAUGGUUUUUUGUAUAAAAAGAUUGUCGAAGGGAAACGUGUGUUUAAAUUUUUGUUAGGUUUGAACAAAAAUCUUGAUGAAAUUAGAGGAAGAAUCAUGGGAGUAAAACCCCUACCUAGCCUUAGAGAGGCAUUCUCUAAAGUCCGUCGCGAAGAAAGUCGGAAAAAUCUCAUGAUGGGAUCCCAUCAACAACUGAAUAUGGCAGAAAGCUCGGCUCUUAAGACUCAAUUCGCUCCUUUUGACAACCGUCAAAAAAUUAAAGGAGGUAGACCUUGGUGUGAUCAUUGCAGAAAGCCGGGACACUCAAGAGAAACUUGCUGGAAGAUUCAUGGAAAGCCAGUAGAUUGGAAGCCACGUCAACCACUUGAGAAAGAAGGACGAGGCAAUCAUGUGGCUACCGAUGAACAAUCGCCACAACCUGAAGCUAGCCCUUUUAAUAAGGAGCAAAUGGAGAUGCUUCAGAAACUACUGUCUCCUCUUUUGUCAGUACAGUCACAAACUGGCUCAUCUUCCAACCAGGUCAUUGGUUCCGGAACUUUGGCUCACAAAGGUAAUUUUUUGAGUGCCUUCACUGCUGGUAAGAAACGUAAAAAACCUUGGAUAGUGGACUCAGGAGCAUCUGAUCAUAUGACGGGAGAUGCGACAAUUUUUGAUACAUAUAGCUCAUGUCCAAAUAAUUUAACAGUCCGAAUAGCAGAUGGUUCACUAUCAAAGGUUGUCGAAACAGGUUCAGUUGUGCUAUCAAGGGAUCUUACUCUCAACUCUGUUCUCCUUGUUCCUAACUUGGACUGUAAUCUAUUGUCAAUUAGUAAACUCACUAAGGAAAAGAGGUGUAUUACUAAUUUUUCCUCCACUCACUGUGAAUUUCAGGAUUUGGAUUUGGGGAAGACGAUUGGCAAUGCUGAGGAAUGCUCUGGACUCUACAUUCUUAAGGAGCGCCACGAUCCACAAGAACAACCUCAAAUAACAGUUGGUAGUAAUUCUUUUUCGGUUUCAUGUCAAAAUAACGAUAGUGCAAUUAGAUUGUGGCACUAUCGCUUAGGUCAUCCAAAUGUUAUGUAUCUCAAGCAUUUAUUUCCUUCAUUAUUUAAUAAAAAUCCACAAUCCUUUGAGUGUGAAAUCUGUCAAUUAUCAAAGCAAGUCCGGUCUCAUUUUCCCAUUCAACCCUAUAAAGAGUCUAGUCCAUUCUCAAUAAUUCAUAGCGAUAUCUGGGGUCCGUCAAGAAUAAAAAAUGUAACUGGUACUAGGUGGUUUGUCUCAUUCAUAGAUGAUCACACUAGAUUAACUUGGGUAUUCCUCAUGAAAGAAAAAUCUGAAACGAGUCAAAUUUUCAAAAAUUUUAAAAAUAUGAUUCAGACCCAAUUCCAGUCAAAAAUACAAAUUCUAAAGUCUGAUAAUGCUAGGGAUUAUUUCAACUCCAUUCUAAGAGAAUUUCUAGCACAAGAAGGGAUAGUUCACUUAAGUUCAUGUGUUGAUACCCCACAACAAAACGGAAUCGCUGAAAGGAAAAAUAGGCAUUUGUUAGAGGUGGCUAGAUCACUAAUGUUCUCCAUGAAUGUUCCAAAAUUAUUCUGGGGGCAAGCUGUCCUUACGGCAGCCUACCUCAUCAAUAGGAUGCCGUCUAGGGUACUAAAAUUCCAAACACCUUGUCAAACUCUCCUAAAAUCCUUUCCGACUACUCGUCUCAUCUCCACCGUCCCACCCAAAAUUUUCGGGUGCUCUGUCUUUGUUCAUAUCAAUCAACAACAUAGAAGUAAACUUGAUCCUAGGUCACUCAAGUGCAUCUUUCUUGGGUAUUCUUCAAAUCAAAAAGGGUAUAAGUGUUACUCUCCGGUCACAAGAAAAUUCUACAAUUCAAUGGAUGUCACCUUUUUUGAAACCUAGCCUUACUAUCCCAAAAACAAUAUUCAGGGGGAGAAUUCAACUCAGGAAUAUCAAUUUUGGGAUCUUGAGUCAUUCAGUGAGUCACCCAUCACCACUGAAAAUCACAUUCCUCCAGAGUCAUUUAAUCAACCCGAGUCCAUUGUUGACUUGUGGGAUAAGGAGCACAUCCAAGAGGAAACGGAGGAAAGAGCACUUUCUCAACAAACCCAUGAGGCAGAACCGGGUCCUAAUCCAAGCAAACUUCCAGGUAACAACGCUCCUGAUGGUACUGUUGAUUCCGAGUUAGAAAAUGAUAUUCUUAAUAUGCCCAUAGCUUGGAGGAAAGGAGUUAGAUCAUGCACUCAGCAUCCCAUUGGAAAUUUUAUUUCUUAUGAUAAGCUAUCACCUACGUUUCGUGCAUUCACUUUUAGCAUCACAGAGAUACAAGUUCCUCAGAAUAUUCAGAAAGCUUUCAAGUAUCCUAAGUGGAAGGCGGCAGUCGAUGAGGAAGUUCGGGCGCUGGAAAAGAAUGGUACGUGAGAAAUUACUGACCUCCCAAGAGGUAAGAAACCAGUUGGGUGUAAGUGGAUUUUCACAGUAAAGUACAAGGCAGAUGGUAAUGUGGACAGGUAUAAGGCUCGGUUGGUCGCCAAAGGAUUCACCCAAUCCUAUGGCAUUGACUAUCAAGAAACUUUUGCUCCAGUUGCCAAGCUCAAUACUGUUCGUGUACUUUUAUCCUUGGCAGCUAAUCUCGAUUGGUCGCUUCACCAACUUGAUGUGAAGAAUGCAUUCCUCAAUGGUGACUUAGAGGAAGAAGUUUACAUGGACAUUCCUACUGGACUUGAGACGACAUCAAAUUUCAACAAGGUUUGCAGACUCCGAAAAUCUUUGUAUGGUCUCAAACAAUCUCCCAGGGCUUGGUUUGAACGGUUCACUAAGGUAGUGAAAGGGUACGGAUUCGUUCAAUGUCAAUCCGAUCACACAUUAUUUGUGAAACACUUCUCAGAAGGGAAACUGACAAUUAUCAUUGUAUAUGUGGACGACAUAAUUUUGAUAGGUGAUCAUGAAGAGAAAAUUGACUUACUUAAAAAAUUACUGACAAAGGAAUUUGAGAUCAAGGAUCUUGGAAACCUCAAGUACUUUCUCGGAAUGGAGAUUGCUAGGUCAAAGAAAGGUAUAGUAGUCUCACAACGCAAAUACGUUCUGGACUUAUUGAAUGAAACAGGAAUGCUAGGAUGCAAGCCGGCAGAAACACCUAUGGAUACAACUGUCAAACUGGAAGAAAGUGAUGGAAGUGCGCCAGUUGAUAAAGGAAGAUAUCAACGUCUUGUGGGGAAACUCAUCUAUCUUUCUCAUACAAGGCCAGACAUCGGCUUCUCCGUUAGUGUGGUAAGUCAAUUCAUGAAUAAUCCAACCGAAAAACACAUGACUGCUGUGAUCAGAAUAUUGAGAUACCUCAAGAUGACACCGGGAAAGGGCCUCUUAUUUCAAAGAACAACAAAGAAAGAGAUUGAAAUUUUUUCAGAUGCAGAUUGGGCAGGUUCAGUGACUGAUCGGAGAUCAACUUCAGGCUAUUGUUCAUUUGUCUGGGGGAACUUGGUUACAUGGCGAAGCAAGAAACAGUCAGUGGUAGCCCGUAGCAGUGCUGAGGCAGAAUUUCGUGCUAUGGCACAAGGUAUCUGCAAGGGAAUCUGGUUGAACAGGCUGUUAGAAGAAUUACGGGUUCCAUUGAAGCAUCCUAUGGUGUUAUACUGCGACAAUCAAGCUGCCAUCAGUAUCGCUAAGAAUCCGGUUCAUCAUGAUCGAACUAAGCACGUGGAGAUAGAUCGACACUUUAUCAAGGAAAAGAUUGAAGAAGGAGUUUUCAAAGUCAGCUACACUCCGACAAACUGUCAAACGACUGACAUUCUCACAAAAGCUCUUGCUCGAGUUAACUUCGAAGAUCUGACAGAAAAACUUGGAAUGAUCAACAUCUACAACGCGGCUUGAGGGGGAGUGUUGGAAAUCAAGCCAACAUCCUCUGUUUACUUCCCUAAUUAGUGUAAUGUACAACCUUUAUUAUAAUUGAUUUAGGAAUAAUUCUAGCAAGGUAGUUUAUUCACUUUCCAUGUAAGAGUAGUUUAUUCACUUUCCAUGUAAGAGUAGUUUAUUUACUUUCCAUGUAAGAGUAGUUUAUUUAAUUCCCAUAUAAGAGUUUAUUCACUUUCCAUGUAAGGGAAAUUCCAUUCCGGAAUUGUCUCAUAUCCGUAGCCUAUUUAUUUAUGUUUUCAUUCAUUGUAAAGGAAGGUAUCACAAAAUGAAUUGAGGUGUUCCUCCAUAUUUUGUCUUCAAAUUCCUUCAUAUUUUUCUUCAAAUUCUUCACAUACCUCUAUCUGCAUGGAACACGCCGCCCCCGCAGGCACCACCACUUCGCCUCCGACGAAUAACAAGUGCUACUCCCUCUAUCCUCAUUGCUUUUAAAUUGUUCUAAUUAACAUCCUAAUAUUUUUAUUUUUUAGAAAAAUUUACUUUCUCGAAUAAUUUUAGAUAAAAAAAUUAGGUGAGUAUAUUUAAUAAUUUUCUAUAAGGAUUUUAAUUAACAAAAUUUUAAACCAAGGAUGUUGUAGUAUAUUAACACUAAAUCUCAGGUACUAAUCAAAUUAACCACUUAUAAAAAAAAUAAAAAUCCACCACGUGAGGAAAGAAAAAUGAAAUUGAUAUCUACAGGUGGUCCCAAUGACCCGAGGAAAGAUACCCCAUGGAAGAAAAGUAAAGCUAGUCCACCACCACACAUUUUCUAAUCUAUAACACCCUGGGCAAGUCACAGAAGUGAGAGCAUCAAAUAAAGAGAAGUAAGGAGUAUUUCACCACAUGGGCCUUUUCUGGACUUUUCUUAAUAGUACGGUAAUUUAAAAAAGUUAUGUUUAAAUUAUUGUAGUGAAGAAGUUAUUACAAAUAUAUGAUAGUUUUUGCCACAUAGGAGAGAGGAGAGAGGAGAGAGGAGAGAGGAGAGAGGAAAGAGGAGAGAGGGUGAACGGAUAAAUUUUGAAGAGACAAGUUCCAUGAAAAAAUAUAUAUAUAUAUAUAUUUUUAAAAAAAUUCCCCAUUUACUCAAGGGAACUCGUCUCUUCAAGAGACGAGUUCCAUGAAAAAAAAUAUAUAUUUUAAAAAAAAUUUCCAAAUUAAAAAAAAAAAAAAAAAAAAAAAAAAAAACAGUUGCUCAAGGGAACUAGUCUCUUUAAGAGACGAGUUCCCAUGGAAUUUUUUUUUUUUUUUUAAAAUAUAUAUAUUUUUUUAAAAAAAAUCCCAAUUUUUUUUUUUUUAAAAAAGAAUUUUCUCAAGGGAACUCGUCUUUUCAAGAUACGAGUUCCAUGGAAAAAAAAAUAUUUUUUUUAAAAAAUAUAUUAAAAAAAAAUUCCCACAAGGGAACUCGUCUCUUCAAGAGACGAGUUCCAUGAAAAAAAAAAUAAUUUUUUUUUUAAAAUUCCCAAAUUAAAAAAAAAAAAAAAAGAAUUUCCUAAGGAACUACUUAAAAUAUAUAUAUAUAUAUAUAUAUAUAUAUAUAUAUAUANNNNNNNNNNNNNNNNNNNNNNNNNNNNNNNNNNNNNNNNNNNNNNNNNNNNNNNNNNNNNNNNNNNNNNNNNNNNNNNNNNNNNNNNNNNNNNNNNNNNNNNNNNNNNNNNNNNNNNNNNNNNNNNNNNNNNNNNNNNNNNNNNNNNNNNNNNNNNNNNNNNNNNNNNNNNNNNNNNNNNNNNNNNNNNNNNNNNNNNNNNNNNUAUAUAUAUAUAUAUAUAUAUAUAUAUAUAUAUAUAUAUAUAUAUAUAUAUAUAUAUAUAUAUAUAUAUAUUUUUUCCAUGUCAAGAGACGAGUUCCUUGAGGAAUUUUUUUUUUUUUUUUUUUAAUUUGGGAAUUUUUUUUAAAAAAAUAUAUAUUUUAAAAAAAAAAUAAAAAAUUUUCCCAUGUGAACUCGUCUCUUGAAGAGACGAGUUCCUUGAGGAAAUUCUUUUUUUUUUUUUUUAUUUAUAAUUUAGGAAUAAAAAAAAUAUAUUUUUUUCCCAUGUGAACUCGUCUCUUCAAGAGACGAGUUCCUUGAGGAAAUUCUUUUUUUUUUUUUUAAUUUGGGAAUUUUUUUUAAAAUAUAUAUAUAUAUAUUUUUAAAAAAAAUAUUUUUUAAGGAUAACUUUGUAAUAACUUAUUCUACUACAAUAAUUUAAGCAUAAUUUUUUUAAAUUAUCAUACUAUUGAGAAAAGUCCGGCCUUUUCUCCUAUUCACGAGAGAAAAAAUGACAAACAUUUUGUUCUUUUAUAGAAAGUAUAGAUAGUGGCCGACACUAACCACAUGGCAAUCAUUUCUUAAUGGCUAUUUUUAUUUUUUUUUCAAGUCAUAGUAAGCCUCAGCCGCCACUAAAGACAAUUUAUCUCUGUGCUAGGGGCCCUCUUUUUAUCCAAAUAUAACCACUAUCGUGACUUGUAGAUUAUUAUAGAUACAACUUCAGAAAAUCUGGCGCACGCGUUUGAAAUAUGACCCACUGAAAGUAAAAUAAAUAUUAUAUUUUAAAAAAUAAGACCAAAACAGGGGAGAAAUCAAGGGAAAGUUGUGUUUAUAGACCCUUAUAUGAAAAAUAUAUAGAUUUGGAAACUGUAUAACUGAAAUAUGGAUUUUACCUGUUAAUAACAAAAAUAUUAUUGGUUUUAUGCAUUAUUUACUGUUUAUAUUCCUAUUUCCGAAAUUACCCUUUUUUUUUUUCCUCCUCCCCCCUUCGUUUUCCCGGAAAAUUCUGCACCCCCCAAAUCGUUUCCCCGGGAAAAUUCAUCCUCGUGAUUUCUGAGAAAAUCCAUGCAAAACCCCCAAGAAAACCAAAAAAAUUACUUUUUUUUUUUGCUCCCCGUAUUUUCUGGAUCUGCCCCCCCUCCUCCCUCCAUUCGUUUCCGAGAAAAUUCAUCCUCGUUUGAUUUCCGAGAAAAUCCACCCCCAAGGAAAACCAAAAAAAUUGCUUUUUCUUUUGCCCCCUAUGUUUUCUGGAUCUGCCGUCGCCGCCGUCCCCCCUUCAUUUUCCGGGAAAAUUCAUCCUUGUUUGAUUUCCGAGAAAAUUCAUGCAAAACCCUAAGGAAAACAAAAAAAAUUGCUUUUUUUCCGCCUCCAUUCAUUUUCCGUUUGAUUUCCGAGAAAAUCGAUGCAAAACCCUAAGGAAAACAAAAAAAUUGCUUUUUUUUCCGCCCCCAUUCGUUUUCCGUUUGAUUUCCGAGAAAAUCCAUACAAAACCCCAAGGAAAACAAAAAAAAAUUGCUUUUUUUCCGGCCCCCAUUUCGUUUUCCGGGAAAAUUCGCCCUUGUUUGAUUUCCGAGAAAAUCCAUGCAAAACCCCAACUCGGAAAUCAAACGAGGAUGGAAACGGGGAGAGGGGGGUUGAGCGGCAGAGGAGGGGGAGACACAAGAGAGGGAAAAAAAAAAAAAAAAAAAAAAGGGUAAUUUCAAAAAUAUGAAUAUGAACAGUAAAUAGUGCAUGAAACCAAUAAUAUUUUUGUUAUUAUCAGGUAAAACCCAUAUUUCAAUUAUAUGGGUUCCAAACCUAUAUAUUUUUUUUUCAUAUAAUGGCCUAUAAACACAAUUUUCCCCCAGAAAAAAAAGGGGGUGUGCACACAUUCUGGACCUCCCUCGCUAAGCUCCCCAACGCAGAGCCGGAACCCAGCCCACACGCGCAGGCGGCUUCAUCUCAACACCCAACACGUACGCACCCACGAUCCUCAACUCCAUCAUCUCCAUCACCUCUAUAGCAACCUCCACACCCAUCCUGAUCAUCACCGUCUUGCUGCUACCCACAUCCUGGUCACUUCCACGGCCUUCCAUACCCAUUCCAUAUGGAACCAGCCUUUACGCCACGGUAAACACCAAUUCUCACUACAACUUCACAUCUCCAUACAAUUCAUACGUUCUUCCACCUCCAACACACCACACCACACCACAACAUCAUCACCUCUCAGAGCUCGUAAUCACCAUUCUGGAACAACACCCAUAGAUCUCACCACCGCAAUCAUCUCUUCUCAAAGCCCAUAGCACCACCGCGCCUCAGCCCACGCAGCACCACACCCCUCUAUCCGCAUGGAAGGCGCCGCCCACGCAGACACUACGCCACAACCGACGAACACCAAGUACUACUCCCUCUACCCUUAUAUAGCUUUCUGCUUGUUCAAUUUUGUGAGUUUAUGUUGUUUGGCAUUGUUGCUCGUUAAUUUUAUUUGCUUCACUCUGCAACCAUUGUGGUUUGCUUAUGAAUAGGAGGAUUUUUAUUUUUUUUUAUUUUUUAAUUGUACGUGCUUUAAGAAAAGGUAAUUUGUAUUUACAGUGACAUCUAAAAGGAUAAGAAAUCUUUUAUAAAGAAUGGGGCUUGUUUUUAAAAACAAUUUUUAAGUUAAAAAAAAGGUUUUUUUUUUUUUUUUAAAGUUUUAUAAAAAUGAAUGGUUGAGAAAUUGUUUUUGAAAAUAAAAAACAAAAAACUUAUUUCAAUUAGUUGUUUUAAAAAAAAAUUAUUUUGAUUUUAUAAAAGAAUUGUAUUACAAAUUUUUGGUAUUAAGUAGUUUCAAGUUAUUUCUGAAAUUAUCAAAAGCUAAUAAAUCCAAUGUUUAUUUAGCAAGUGAAAUUGGCAGAUUGUAGUAGUAAUGUUGCAUUUGGGGAAUGACGUGUUUUCAUCUGGCUGUAGAACCGAGCCUUGUUUUGGUUUGGUAACCAGGUAUCAUUUAAUGGCAGCGUUACAACAGGCGAAAGUUCUGAUGAACAUGCAAUUGAUAUUGAAGUUUGGUAUGGUGAUAAAGCGUCAAAUAUCGAAAAAGAAAGGACUCCUUGUGAAAGUAGAUUACCAAGGAUACCAAAGGUUCCCGAUACUUUGAGAAAUAGUCAAAAUAUAAGAUUGCUUCCAUGGAUUCAACCAAGCGUGGUUUCAAUCGGUCCCUACUACUAUAACAAGAAUCUCCGGAAAGCGCAAAAGCUGAAGUCUGUGCAUGCCGAGAAGUUCAUUAGGGAAAGUAACCAGGAGAAAUAUGAUUUGUACCGCAAAAUUAAAACAAAGACACCCCAACUGAGGAAGUGCUAUGAUAACCCGCAAAUAUCCGAAUAUGACGACAAUCAGCUGGCCACGAUGUUCUUACUGGACGGGUGUUUUUUACUACAUUUCAUCAACUUCAGCAGCAAGGAGGAUGGGUUCAGUAAUUUCGAUUUUACAAAUCAUGAAAUUGCUUAUAUAAAACAGGACUUGUUCUUGCUGGAGAACCAACUUCCCUAUGAGGUCCUCGAGCUGCUGUUAAAGGACGCAGAAAAUUCAAUUCCGAUGAAAGGAAAGAUAAACGAUUUCGUUGCAUCUCAUGUCCCCUUCCCUCGAGGAAUAUCAGUAGAAGAAGACAAUCAACAACCCUGCCAACCCUGCCAUCUGCUCCACUAUUUGCAAGGUGUCAUUUUAAACAAACCGGAAACAAGUAGCCCACGACAAAAACAGGACAAAGAAUGCAAAAGGCGUAGGAUACCCAAAUGGCCCUCAUGUAAAAACGUCCAGGAGCUUAGGAAAGUGGGCAUCCAUUUUAAGCCCAGUCCCACGAGUUACUUGACAGAUAUUUCUUUCAAGUCUCACUCUUGCACCUCCGGAUGCCUCAAGCUACCUAUCAUUUCCAUGAACACCUCCACUAUGAUAAUUUUCUUAAACUUGGUAGCCUUCGAAUCCUCUAAUACCUCCGAAACUACCACCAACAACGUUGGCAUAAUCUCUUACCUAUGCUUCCUGGAUUCACUCAUUGAUCGUUGGGACGAUGUGAAGGAGCUUCAGGCAGCCGGAAUACUCCGUAACUUUGCCGGGGAACAAAUAGAAGUCGCCCAAUUUUUCAACAACGUGUGCAGCAAAUUGGUGCCGAAUCUUUCUCCGUAUUACGAUGUGAUAAUUCAGAUUGACAAUCAUGUUAAGAGGCACGACAAUAGCAGAUGGCGGAAGGGUUAUAUUCAGUUCAAGCAAAAAUAUUUCAGUAGCCCCUGGAGUUUCAUCGCUUUGAUUGGUGCAAUUAUAGGACUAACGCUUACUGGCAUUCAGGCUUACACUUCAGUCUUCUCCUAAUAGUCCAAAGACUCAAGCUCUAUUUCCAGGUAUCCUAUCACUCCCAACUCCCCCUCGUCUUGUCUAUAUACCUGCAUUACUCAAAAUUGAUUGCUUUUCUUUCCACUUUCUACCUAGCCCAAGAAACAGCUCUUGCUCAUGCCAAGGGGCCUAUCCGAAGAGUUGGCUCUGAGGCGUCAUCUCGUGCAUGUACUCAGGCUUAUACAUGUCAGUCUAUCAUGCUUAGCUACUUGUCUUAUUUUGGAGUGUUUUAUAUUUUUACGCGGGACUUUGUUAAAUAAAGGCAUCUUUUUUUUUUUUUUGAUAAACCUCCAGUGGCCCUGAGAGGACUCGAACUGGUGACCAUUGGGGAGCAAACCCAAGGCCUGACCAACUGAGCUACCCCUCAGGGUUUAAAUAAAGGCAUCUUAUUAUGGAAAACAAUUUGGUGUAUUGAACAUUAUGAUCUUUUGUGUGUGCCUCUGGCUAUGAAUGAUUUGUAAUCAAGAUGACGAAAUAUAGACACAAGAUUUGUUGUUGGUUUACUUGCUUAAUUAAAGCCCUUGGAUGGUUGUAUCGCCAAUCUUACAAAUUAACUUUACUUUUGAUAGUUGUUGGCCCAUGUUACAAACUUCAAUGCACCAUCGCAUCUUGAAUUGACCAUUCUCAAUAAAUAAACCAUUAAAAUUUAUGUUUUUAUUUUAUUAAUCCUAUAUAAUGUUGAUAUAUUUAUAGAUAUAUUUUUAAUAAAUUCCACAAUUUCAAUAAGUGACAAUUAAAUUCUAUCAAAAUUUUUAUAAUGUCUAUAUUUUUAUGCAUGUUUUUCUAAAUCACCUUCAAAUUCCUUAAAAAAAAUUAUUAUACAAAUAAAUUCUAAAUUAAAUGACAUUUGAAACAUAAAAUUCACUAAUUCUUAUUAAGAAAUCACUCCACUUGUAAAGUAGAUAAUAACUUUCAACAUGUAUUGAAAAUAUAAGAACUUUUUAAGAUUACGGUUUAAGGUUUUUCAUUUUUUUUUUCCUAUGAAAAUAUUAAAUAAUCGUCCUAUUGUAGUUGUAAGCAAUUCUAUUUCACAAUAUGAAUACAGGCUAGCUAAUUCCAUUUGUGUAUCUUAAUACGGGUAAGUUAAAAUUUUGCACUAUUGAACUUCUUUUUUUUUUUUUUCUUUAAAUUGAUCUUUUUGUGAUAUGGUUUGUUACCCAAAAUAUGAUAAUAAAUAUAACUAAUAUCUAGUUGUGAUUUUUGAAAGAACUAUUAGUCUAUCUUAAUUAGGUUAUAUGAAGCCCCAAUGACCUAUUUCUUUUCUUGACCAUUUUGGUGAUAAGACACAAAAUCUCUAUUCUGAUUUGAAGGGAAUAAUUAAUUAUUUUUUGUUAGCCUUGGAUAUAUAAGGUAUGAUCACUUAAAAGAAUCGUAGUGAUUUGAUUCCUAAGUGAUCCUAAAACAUAUGAUUUAUUCGAAUUUCAAUUCAAAAAAAAAAAAAGAGUAAAAUAUACGGAGGCUUGAGACAUGUGCCAAACAAAUUUUAGGUAAUUUUGUCUGGUCUUGAAAAAUAAUAAGAAAAGAAAAAAUUGAUUGAGAAAAAUAAAUUUUUUACAUUUGAUUUCACUAUAAAAAAAAUAUCAAAUCAAAUCAAAUAUAAUUAAAAUUAUAUUAAAAAUUAUCAAUUUUAAAAUUAUUCCAUCUUUACAUAAUUCAUGAAAAUAGGUAAAAUAUGUUCGGAAAAACAUAUAAAAAUAAUUUAUUUACUUUAAAUUUAUUUUUAUUUUUUACAUUAUUUUUUUCAAUUUUUUUUACACUUUCUUCAAAUUUUUAGGCUAUGUUAAUUCCCAUAAAAAUACCACAAGGAAAAAAAUGCUUAGGCUAUAUUAAUUCCCAAAAAAAUAAUAGAGAAGAAAAAAAUUAUUUUCUUAUAUUUGUUUUUACUAUAGAAAAUGAGAAAGAAAGUAAGAUAUAAAUAAAAUUAUUAAGAAAUGUAUAUAUUUUUAAAUAAUUUAAUAUUUAUAUAGAAGAACUAUAUAAGUGAAAAAAAUGAAAAAAAUAUAUAAAUAAUUUAUUGAUUUAAAUCUACUAUAAUAUUUGGUUUAAUCGGCAACCUAUGUAAAAAUAUUGGUUUUUGUAAAUCCAUCAAAUUAUUUAAUUUUAUAAAAAUAUAAAAAAAUUAAUCAAAAUUUAUAAAAAUAUUAAAAAAGUUCAAAAAUAAUGUAUAAAUUAAAACUAUUUUGUUAAAAAAUUUAUAUAUGUAUGUUGAUAAAAUGUAUGAAUUUUUAAAAUAUAUAUUCAAUAAAAUUUAAAAAUAAAAUCGGAAAGCCCUCAAAGCCGUAGGAUCAAUAUGAGAUUAAAUUUUGGCCAUUGGAUAAUUUCAAAACAUGGAGAUGCAUUUAAAAGAAUUAGAAAAUUAUAUUACAAUAGUUUAUUUAAGAUGGUAGAUAUUAUGGAAGUGUGUAGAUUUGAGUCUCCAAGAUCCGUACAAAAAUGCACUUAAAAGAAUGUGACAUAUGGUUUGAAAUUGACACUUUCAAACACCCACCUCCAUAGAAUCCAAUCUGAUCACCGUGGAUUUUGGACUUACUCCCACUUCAAAGUUACUUGUUUUCUUUUCUUUCAUAAUGGCUUCCAAAUCCGUCGUGAGUUGGUGGCGUGGACCAUGCGAUUUACUUCUAUCUAAAAGCAAAACCUACUUCUGAUGUAGUGGGGGUGAUAUAUGUCCACGUCAAAAUUAAUAAUUAGUUUCAUUUGUGUUUUGUAAAAAUUGUGGUCGGAGACUUGGAGUUGACCUCAUAUUUCAAUUCAAUUUUAUCUAAUAAUUUUUAAAAUGAAUUAAUUAAAAAAAAUUAUCUUAUUUUAGGGCAUUUCAAUAAAUAAAUUAGAAAGAUUUUAACCAUUCCAUUUUCUCUUUGUUCCAGGGAGACUACAGAUCAUAAGUCCUACUAUUUAGGCUCCACUAGCUUUUGUGUUCUUGCACUGUCGGAUGCUUUUAUUUUAAUUUUAUUUUGUUCGUUUUUAUGUUCGUUUUGGCAUAGAAUUACAUAUAUAUCAACAAUGUGAAAGAAGAUAUUUUACUUUUUUUUUUAAUAAGAUUUACAUAACUAAUUUUUAGAUUUAUAGUUUUGAAAGAUGUUACGUUAAUUUUCUUUUUUUAAAUUAUAUUAUUUAUUAUAGUUUAUAAGUAAAAAAUGAAAACUUUAAGUGCAAAAGUAAAUACUAUUUCAUAUUAAAUUGAUUAAGAAAUAAUAAAAAAAUUGUUUCUUUUAAUUUUCAAUUUUAUCUUAAAAAUUAAUUUUAAAAAUAAAAAAAAUAAUUUAUGUUUCUAUAUUAUUUGUUCUUUUUCCCAAGAAAAAGUUUUCAAAUUAUGAAUAAAAUGAUUAAAUUUUAAGAUAAAUAAUACGUUUUUUUAAAACUUUAUUUAAAAAAAAUAAAAAGGUAGAUUUUUUUUUCAUUUUAUAUUUUAUUUAUAAAAAAAAUUAGUACAUUCAAAAUCAAUAUAGAAAAAAAAAGGUCUCAUCAUGCAUUGAACAUUUGUUUUAAAAAAUGAGUUUAAUAUAAAAAUAAAUUGAAUUUUAAUAUAAAACUCUAAAAUUUAAUUUUUAAUAUGAAACACUUAUUUUAUAAAGAUGAGUUUAUUUUUAUAUAUUGAAUUACUUUUUUGUACAUUAAAUUCAUAUUUUUAAAAAGAAAUAUUUCACGUGAUAAUUUUUAUCAUAGAAUUUUCAAUUGUUUGAAAGCUAUCGUAUUUUAAGAAUAUUUUUUUAAAGUAAUAUAAAAAAAUAAAUAAUAUCAUUCUUUUUAAAAUAUAUAUCUAAAACUACUAUAGUUUAAACUAUCUCAAAUUCAUCGCAAACUUAGAUUUAAAAAAAAAAAAAUUAGUGUAAAACAAUUAAAAAGAUAAAUUUAGUUUAUAAUUUUUUAAAUUUACAAUUAAUUAAUUUCUUUCUUUUAGUUGUUUACAGAUAAUAUAUAUAUGUAUUUUUUUUAAAUUCUCCUUAGAGAAAAUUUUAAAAACCUACUUGAAAUUCACAAUUCAUAUAGUUUUGCGAGAAUAUUUUGAGGCAGCUAUAUUGAUUGCAUGGGGCAAGGAAAGCCUGGCCCAAUUCUAUACGUUCCAUUCGUUUCGGGCUAAGCUUGAAAUACAGUAUCACCACACACAAAGAUAUCCUUUGUAGAGAGAAAGAUGACGAUGACCGGUGACUAGUACACUGUACACAUAACUACCAAGAUGUGAUUAGUAUACUUAACUACCAAUACGCCUUUUUGUGUAAAUACAACAAUUUAUAAAAAAAUAAAAAAUAAAAACCGUUCUCCCAAAAGUAUUUCUAAAACUAUCUUAAUUUAUGCUAAAUGGAGUAUACUAGGAUCUAAUACAAGUAGAAUUGGUAAUGGGGCGGCUUUGGGAUGGGUCACCCCUACCCCAUUUCCGUCCCAAUCAUAUAAAUCUCUUUCCCAUCCCCAUCCCAAACCCGGGGCGGGGAGGGUUAAUGUCUCCCGUUCCCGUUUACAAAAGAGUUGAUAAUUAAGCAUGUCGUGUAGGUGAUUUUAGAAGUCUUCAAAAGCUUCUUACCCUCCAUAUAAACCCAUGGGAAGUGUCAAUUGAACAGGUUGUGACAUUAAUUGAUUCUUGAAAAAUUUAAGUGAAAAUAUAAAUAAAUAAAAAAAUAGAUUUAAAGUUAAUGAAUUAUUUUUAUCUAUUUUUUCAAACUUAUUUCAUUUAGUAUCAUUUAUUAUAUAAAGACUAAAUAAUUUAAAAAUAUAUAAACUUUUAACGAAUUUUAAUUAUAAUUUAUUUUCUUUUGUAUUUUUUUAUGGUGAAAUCAAACAUAAAAAAUCAUUUUUAUUUUAACAUUUUUUUAUUUCCUUAAUACUUCCUAGAAACCAAAUAUAGCCUAAGCAAAUUUUCACUAAUUGUAUCAUCACCAAACUUGCAAAAGAUGUUUGUGGUCUGUGAAAUAACAAUUAAUAUAUCUUAAUAAAUAUCAGAUGUAGCAUCAAUGAUUUGUUUCGUUUCUCCGCCACUAUAUUUUGAUUUCGUGGGAAUAAUUCAUUGCUAGUCCUUGGAUAUCCAAAUUAUAAUCUGUUAAAAGAUCAGAUAUAGUAAAUUAGUUUUACAAGCAUAAAUGAUUAUAAACAUAUAAUCUGCUAGAAUUUCGUUCACUCCAUUGUAUGCUACAACUGUUGUUUUGAUUUUUUUAACAACCAUCCAUGAUGAAAACUCUCUGGCGUGUCAGUAGAAAGCUAUUUGUACCGUCCAGGCUUUUAGGGUUUUUGCAUGGGAGUCUAUGAAAUAUGUUACUAGCCUAUGUUGCACAUGCACAUAUUCACUACCUCCUUUAAAGCUUCAACCCUAGUUUGGCUUGUAGAUUAUUCUAUAUUAACUAAUAUUAAUAUAGAAAUAUGCUAAAUUUAUUAUAUAUCAACAAUCCUGAGUUUAAGAUUAGAGAAUUACAUUUAGAUCAAUUUGUGUUGAUAGUGUGUUACAAGAUGAGUAUAAAUAAAAUGCAAAUGAUAAAGGAGAAGAGAGAAAAUAUAUAAAUUUUCUUAGAAAUAUUAUAUAAAGAAAAAUUAGUUACGAGAAUAAGAGAGAAAAGUUGAGGAAACUUUUUUUGCUCGGGAUGUCUUUUUUUCUUUUUCUUUUCUCAUUCCAAGAGCUUUUUACAAGCUUACAAAAUUGCUUUCAUUUAAUACUCCUCAUUUUUAAGAUGAGUAAAUAAAAGCUUUUAUUCACCUUACUAAUAAAUGUAUAAGUAAAAGUUGAGACGUUUUUGGAGUAAGGGUCCUGCAAAAUAUUUUAAAUUUUAAUUUUUUAUAUAAAUUAAAUAAAAAUCCCAUUAGCCUACAAAUUAAUAUUAAGAAAUGCCAUAAAAAUUUAUAAAUAUAUCAAAAUAGUUCAUAUUCUCACCGUAGUCACUUUUUAUGGUUUGUUCGUUCAAUUUUUUUAUUUUUUAUGACCUACUUUUCUCCAUUCAUAUGGGAGGUAGUUUUGAGAAUAAUUUUAAUAGUCAUAUUUGUAAUUUAUUUUAUUUUUUUAGAAAAACUUUAUACCAAGUUUUUAAAAAAUAAAGGUAUUUAAUGUAUUUUUGUUUUCAAAUUCUUGUAAACAAAUUUUGAAAAGAAAAAUUAAUACCCAUAAGAUCCCCCCAUCUUAUCUUUGCAAUGGAACCAAUAACUUCAGUGUCUCACUUGCUAUUACUAUCAUUCAAGAAAAAAAAUUAUUUUUCUCCUUAUCAUGUAUUUAUUUUUGCUUUUAAAAAUCAGAAAAAUAGAACUAAUAAAAAACAGUCUAAAUGAGUUCUAUUUUCUCUUUCUAAAUUUUCAUUGAAUUGGCCCAAAGUACAAGAAGCCUGAUCCAAGCCAGGGUUUAAGAGGGGCUCAAAUAUCCCUGAAAACCUAAGUAACUACCCAUCCUUGGGUUUCUUUGGUACCCACUCUUUAUUUUGGGUACCAAAAUAAAAUGCAAGCAUAUUUCCCAGUAUUCCUUGAAAAGAGCUACUAAGUCAUCAAAAGACCUAUUUGUCAAACCACGAGAUCCUUAUUGAAUGAAUUCCCAUAUAUUUUCUAAAACUUUUUCCUUAGGUUUCGUUAAUGACAUUUGUAAAAUUUGCUUUUUCUGGUUUGACUAUAAAAUAUAUUCUCCUUCCAAACACGUGAACAUAUUAACCACAUGAUUCACAUGUUCAUUUAUAAAAUGACUAGAAUCCCUAUUGUAAUUCAUAAACAUAUCCAAACACGACCAAGGUCCUCUUCCCAUUAGUACUCUCCUAGUUGCCUUCAUUCGUACCAUUUUGCACAUGACCAAAUGAAUUUAAUUUAAUUUUAAUGAUUAACAUAUACUCAUACUUUAAUUAAAUAUUCGAACAAAUCACAAUUUAAUUAAAAAGACAUAAUUAUUAAAAAAAAUGAUAUUUUAUAUCAUAUCAAGUGUUGGUACUUUGUGGUAGUAAGGGACUUUUUUAAAAUGAUAGACUUAUGUUUGAAUAUGUUAUUUAUUAUUUUUUAUUUCUACAAUUGCAUUAUCAUAUAUAUCUCUUAAUUUAUUUAUUUAUUUUAUUAUAAUAUCCAAUUUUCACUAUUGGAUAUUAUCUACAUUUCAUUCUCAUAUAUAUCUCGUAAUUUAUUUAUUUAUUUUAUUAUAAUAUCCUAUUUUCAUUAUUGGAUAUUAUCUACAUUUCAUUAUCCGUAUGAUAUGAUUUUUUUUCAUUUCCUUGCACAUAUCAAAAAAAGUCAAAUAUAAUAAAGUGUAUGUUUAAAAGUGAUUUUAGAAAGGACUUCUAACUUAUUUAACACUAAAAUUUUUAUCAUUCAAACAUUCAAAAGUUUAGAAUUUUAUUACAUUUUAAAUUAAAAAUUAAAUUAAUUUAUAUAAAAUAUUUUAUUUGAAAUUUAAUUUUUAAAAUUUUAUUAAAAAUAUGUGAUAAUAACUUUUUUUUAUCAACAUUAAUUUAUUUAAAUAAUUAAAAUUAUUAAUAAUUUAUAUUAUCAAAUUAAUUUUUAUUCAUAAAAUAUCGCAAAAUUUCAGUAUAUGGUAAAGAUUUAAUCAAAAUACACAUAGAUAAUUAAUAAUUAUUUAUACAGUGUGAGGAAAAUCCUUUUUUUUUGUCUUACUAAAUCUAAAAAUCAAAAGGCCACCACUUCUUUCACUCGGGCAUCAAGAAGCCCCUUUCUGAAGCUGCCCUCCAGACGAGAGAAUCCAAAAAAAGGCCCUAUUUUCCUCUGCCAGUCUCAAUCCUCGCAGGUACUAAUCUAAUCAUGUUAUUAUUAUUUUUUUUCAACCCCCGUUUGAUUCCCAACAAAAUCCAUUCCCCAUUCGAUUUCCGGGAAAAUUCAUUUGAUUUCCGAGGAAAUCCAUGCCAAACCCCCAAGGUAAACCAAAAAAAUUGCCUUUUUUUUUGCUCCCCGUGUUUUUUGGAUCUGUUUUAGGUGUCUUUUUGCUUUUGUGCCAUUCGAUUUAAAUUCCACGAACCCUAAAUCCACGAUUUCUGAGCCAGGCUGAAAAACACAACAUUUGCCUGCAAAUCAUGAUCAGAUUACCAAAUAGCAUCUUAUGUUUUUUUUGAAAAAAAAUUGGACAGAUUUUGUAUCCUGUGCGCGGCCUGGACUGGUAGGAAAUAUCGGGAAAUUUCCUUAAAAAUCGGUAAGAAUACCGAAAUUUCGGCGAUAUUUUCGAAUCGGUAAAAAUAUUGUGUCGGAGCCGGCGGAUAAGCGAUAUUUCUCAGAAAUAUCGCCGAACUUUUUAGAGUUGCCUGCAUGAGGAUGAGUGAAGUAUACCUGUUCUGGGGGAGUGGUGAAAGCCUAGAGUUGCCUGCAGGGGACACCACCAGGAAUCGGUUCAUUCAAUCUCCGAUUGGUGGCCGCCAAAGCCUGAUUCUUUUCUUGCUCUCUGAUUUCUCCUCCAAAGCUCACUCUCUCUUCUCUCUGUAAAUUCUCAUUUAAAUUUCUGAAGCUCAACUCUCUAAAAUCCAGGAAAAGUUGUAAUGCCCGUCAGUCUAAUAGCUUCCCUCUUGAAACGUGGCUCUAAUACCCAUCAGUCUCAUGCCCAUCAGACAAGUGUUUGCCUUUUCUACGAGAUGGAGCGGGAAAUCCAGGUGUGACCGGCAACCUGCUUAUUUAUUUUUUUUUAUUUUUUUUAAAUGCAUAAGCCAGUUGGACGGUCCGGAUUGAACCAUCCAAGACUGUUUUUUGGGUACGGUAUCGUAGUGGUACCGUAGAAUUUUCCCCAAUCCUUUUAUAAACAUGACCAAUAACGACAACCAAACCCGGGAUGGCUUAGUGAAUGUAUUGGCAAUCCCAACUUUACUGCAAAAUAAAUUUUCAUCCCAGAAAUCAUUUUGAAGCUUGUAAACAAAAAACAAAAUAAUUCAAAAUAAAAGCAAAGUCUAGUGUAAAAAAGAUACCUUGCAGACUUUGUUGCACACCCCUUUCUUGUGUUUAUUCUCAACUUACCAAAGUAUGAUAAACCUCGUUGUUCUUCCAUUAUUUUUAACAAAUUUUAGUUGGCAAAGCCAUCUUACAUCACAUAAACAAAUAAUAUAUGAUUGUUAAAAAGGAUAUGAAUAGAACCAGAAAGUGGCAGCAUAAAUUCUUUAGCAAAAGUAAUAGAUAAUACCAAACUUGAUAACUGAAUAAAGUUUGCAAAGAUCUUCUAUUCUUUCUUGGUCGUCCCACUUUAAUUAGCAUUACAGUUUUCCGAAUUAUGAUAAGCAGAAGUAUCAUCAGUAGACUUACCUGUUCUGGACCAAUAUACUCUGCAGUGAUUGGGGCCAGGUGGUGACCCAAUUCCAUGGAGGAGUGGGAAACAAGGAGGAACGUUGCAGCAGAAGAAGGCGGUCAGCCAAGCGGGCCGGCUAAGGAGCAUAGCAUGGAUGCUCAUGGAUUCUCGCCUCGGCUGGAACGUUGGUUUAAUUCUAUGGUAUAUGCAGAAGAAAGGACCCAGUUCAUGUAUUCUCAGACUCGAUGGGGAAAGAUACCAAAGGUUCCUCAGAUGCUGAGGCACACCCAGGAUUUCGAGAAAUUCUAUGAACCGAGGGUGAUUUCAUUCGGUCCUUACCAUCAUGGCAAACCCCAUCUUCUCCAAGGGGAAAUGCUCAAGCCUCUAUGUGGCAGAAGGUUCCUGCGUGACAGUGGCCAGUCCAUCCAAAAUUUGUACAGAAAAAUUGAAAGCAAUAUCAAGUUAGUGAGGAUGUGCUAUGAUGAAGAUCAGACAUACAAAUAUGAUGAUGAAGAACUCGCCUGGAUGAUGCUUCUAGAUGGGUGUUCUUUACUAUAUUUCAUCCUAUGUGUGAUGAGAAGAAAUGAGAGCCAGUUGAGUGAUUUGAAUGUUAAAAGUCAUUUCGUUGCUUUUGUGCAACUGGACUGUUUCUUGCUUGAGAAUCAACUUCCCUUUGGAAUCCUCGAGUUGUUGUUCGAGGGAGCAAGAUUAGGGGCGGAUACAAUGGAAGAGAUGAUAGAAAGAUUCAUCACUUCUAACAUCGCCAAGCCACGAGGAACAAUGGCUUCAGACUUAGAUCUUGUAAAGGAUCCCUCUCAUCUCCUCGACCUUUUGCGAAGUGGACUUCUCGGCCCUCAGCCUGUACCUGAACAAAAAGGACAGCCUGAAGGAAUAUGGCGGGGGACCGGUCCAAGGGAAAUGCGCAAACAAGGCGACUGGCAGUCGUAUCGAAACAUCAAGGAGCUUGAAGCUGCCGGGAUCUAUCUUAAACCGAGUAGGACGACUUACAUGAGAGACAUUUCUUUCGAGUCCUACUUCUUCUUUGGAUACCUGAAACUUCCCCAUAUAACCAUAGACGCCUCCACGAAGCUUAAGCUGUUGAACUUGGCAGCUUAUGAAAUGAGUCCAAAUGGCCCAGGUGAUUUUGGAGUCACUUCUUAUAUAUGCUUCCUUGACUCCCUCAUUAAGAAUGCUGAGGAUGUGAUGCUGCUGCAAUCAAAUUACACUCUCUUCAACUUUCUCGGAAGUGACGAAAAGGUGGCAGACCUCUUCAACGACAUUGCUAAGGAUCUGGUGCCUAACCGUGAUGCUUAUGCUCUGGUCAAAGCCGGCGUUCAGAAGCAUUACAAUACCAGGGUAAAUGUCUGGAUCUCCAAAUGGCUGCACUCCAAUUUCACCUUUCUGGCCUUCAUUGGUGCAGUUGUGGCCCUUGGUUCAAGUAUCUGCCAAACCUACUUUGCAGCUUUCCCCCCUCAUAAAUGACAUCACCACCCACCAAUUAAACCUCUCAUUGUUUAUUUACUACUACUUGAAGCUGUUUAUGUGUGAGCUAGAGAAUGAAUUCGAUGUCUCUCUCUCUCGAGUUUCUCCCUUUUGUAAUCAAUAUAUGUAAUUUAUGUGUGGUGAUAUAUAUAAUAUCUUAAACAAUCUAUGCAAUAUAUGUGUGAUGUAAAUAAUAUCUUGCAUGAGAAUAUUGUGGUUCCUUUUAUCAUUAAUUCAACGUUUGGUUAAAUUCAAGGUUUUGAUCAUUUGGUUAAAUUCAAGGUUUUGAUCACUAUACUUCGGACAACAGGUCUGCCUUGAUUUGACCCAGCCAAUAUAGCUGAGACAGGUGUUUCAACCCUUGGUAAUGGAGUUUCUAAACAAGCGGACUACUGACAGAUCUGUUGACAUUUAAUUUGUAUUUAUGUCCGUCAAUCGAUAGGCCUCUUAUCUUGGCAAUUUAUCUGUGAAUUUCGCUGACUUUUCUGCAUUUUAUCCAUUUUUCAUAUAUUUGGACGAGUUUGGUCAAACUUUAAAAAUGACUUAAAUUUUCAGUUGCUGGAAGGGCUCGAUCCCCAGGAAAAAGAUUUGGCCUAUGUUGAGGCAACCACUAGGGCAAACUCGUCCCUUAUAUAUCAUAUAAGUUGUACCAAAUAUAUAUAUAUAUAUAUAUAUAUACACUGGAAUUCAUCGUAUAAACAUAAUUUUUACAAAAAUGUCUUAAAAAAUAAAUUAAUUAUAAUUAUUUUAUAAUUAAAUGAAAAUUUUUCAUCCAUUUUUUAAUACCAAACAUAUAAAAAUUAUCAUAGUAAUUUUCUUCAUAGAGUGUUUAAUAUCAUUAAUAUAUUAAUUAAGUAUUAAAAAUUAUACAUAUAUUAUAAUUUAUUUUAUAUCAUUUAAUACAAUUGAAUUAAAUGAAAUAUAAUUUUAAUAUUAAAUAUAUUUUUAAAUUAAACAUAUUAUAAUCAAAUAUCAAAAUAUUAUUAUUGAAUAAUAUUUGACAUUGUUUAAUAAUAAAUGUAUAUUUAUAAAAUUCAUACUUUUUUUUUAUUAGCACAUACAAUAUUUAUUAUCAAAUAUGAUAAAUUAUAUUAUACAUAUAUCAAUUUCUUGAACAAAAUAACUUUAAAAUAUCUAUUAUACUUCUAAUUUUAUUUUUUAAGGGUUUUUUUCUUAUAUUUUUAUAAUUUUUAAUUAAUUUUAAGUUCACUAAUAUUUUGUGUCAAAAUAUCUGUCGAUAUUUCCAUAAAAUGGAAGUACUAAUAUAUCUGUAAUUAGUAAUUACCGAUUUUUUCAUAUCUAAAUAUGCUCAAAAACUUAAUUGUAUAUGUCAAAUGCAAAAAUAUAUGAAGAACCAAAAUAUACAUUCAAACCAUUGAUGGUUUGGGAAUCCGAAAAUCAUAUUUGAUAUUUAGAUGGGUUGAGGUAUUUCUAAACCCUUAAUUAAUCCUAAACGAUGGUGUAUAUAUAUAUAUAUAGGCUUAGGUAUUUAUUUGUACUUUAUUUAUAUUCACUUUGCCCAUCACGGAGUCAAUGCCAUAAUUUAUAGUUAUUAAUGACAAUAAAAAAGAAAAAAUUAGAUCAAUGGAAAUUCCAAAAUAUUAUGAGCAAUGUUUUUAGAAUUGAAAAAGUUAUUGGUUCACGAUCCAUCGAUCGAACUAGCAGUCGAACCGUGAUGUCAUAAAUAUAUAAUAUAUAUUAUUAAAAAUAAUUAUAAUUAUAAAAAUAAAAAUAAUAAUUUAUAUAUUAUUUAAAAAUUAAAAUUUUAUUUAAAAAUCAUAAAUUUAGUUACAAAUUAGAAAUUAAAAUUAAAAUUAGAAUUUUAAUCGGAAAUGGGAGGAGGGUGGGAGUGGCCGAGGGGUUGGGAAGAAGGAAAGGGGAUGGGUCAACUAGAAACGAAAAAGGUUGGGAGAGGCGUUGCUCAAGCAGGAGCUUUAUGGGGGAGGAGAAGGAUAUUUUUUUUUUAACCGUUUGAUUCACUUGAAAUUGAUCGAGUCAGUUGGCUUACUGAUUCGACCAUCCAUUCUAGUUGUUUGACAUCAAUUUAAAGGCUACUCAGCUCAAAGCCUCAAACGACUGAAUAUGACAGAAUUGCUAAUCGGUCGACGGUCGAACCGUCCCAUCUAACCUGAUUUUUUAAACAUUAAUUAUGGGUUAGAUUUCUAGACCCAGGGUUAAAGGUGACUAACACUCCUAGAUAAUUUGUUUAUUUAUUUAUUAAAUAACAAGUUUGUACUUAUUAUAUUUAAUCAUUUAUGAUUUAGAGUUUCAUUAACCAGCAUGAACAUUGAGAGAAGAAGAAGAGUCCUUUACCAUUUUAACAUUUUUAUGUUCAUUUGAUUAAUGGAUUUUUAAGCCUUGUGUGCUUUAUUGACGUUGGGAUAAUAUUGAUUAUUUAAUUACAUUAAAUUUUGUCGUUUUUUCUUUUAAUUUAUAUUCGUAUACAUGCUUAUGUUAAGUGAAAAUAAUUAAAAUAUGUUUUCAAAAAAUUAUUUUCUAAUCUUUUCAAUCAUAUUUUUUGGUUAUUUUUUCUUAAAAACGGAACAUUAUUUUAAAACCCAUUAGUAAACAAAUCUUAAUUUUUCAAAAAAAGAAAAAAAGAAAAAUUAAAUGUAUAAAAAAUUACUUUCUGCUUAGAUAUAACAAGCCUGUCUAAUUGCUAGGUUCAAGUGGUUGACUCGUGUUUUUUGAAUUUCAAUUUUCCAAAAAUACUCAUUAAAAACAGACAUUACAUGGCCCUAUCAGCCUUCAACAAUUCAAAAAAUUCGGUUUUUAAUCUAAAAGAAAAAGAUUAUAGCAGUCAAAAAAUUUUCUUUCCUCAGUAAAAUCUAAAAGAAACCAAAGUCUGCAUAGCCUUUUGAAUGCAAGAGAAGUAAACAACAAAAACUGAACCAACUUGGACAGGUUAACUUUCCUCUGAUGGGAUAUGCAUUCUCCAGUGAACGACCCAGGUACUCAGCACCCCUUACAAAAAUUGUGAGGGAGUUUUUACAUGGUCUGUUGGACUGAGGACCAUGAAAUCCUCACAACUGAUGCCCCUAUAAACUUGAACCUCGAGACACUAAUAAAAAAUUCAGAGGGUGAGGGUUUACUAAGGGGUUCUUUCACCUGGGAACUUGUCUUUGAAAUUCCUUGGUGUUGCGGGUUCGUUAAGGCAAAUAUUAUAUGAGUUGUCAUUCUCAUCGUUUUGGUAUUAAGUCAAAGUAAUUUAGAAUCCGUUUGAUAAUAGUUUUAAUGGGAAUAUUUAUUUACAAGUGUUUUUAAGAGGAUGAUUUAAAUUGUCUUUGAUAGUGAUUUUAGAAAAUAUUUUUAAUUUUUUUAACACUUAAAUGAUAAUUUUUUUUAAGUAUUAUAAAUAUUAAAUAUGUUUUUUAGAAUUACUACCAAACAAAUUCUUAGAAUAUAUUUGAUAGUAAUUUUAAAAAGUGUUUAUAAUAUUUUUGAUAUUUGACAUAUAAAAAUUUUUAAAUAUUAAAAAUAUUAUAAACACUUCUUAAAAUUAUUAUCAAAUAUAUUCUUAUAAAGUAGUCAUUUGAAAAGUAUUAAAAUGAAUUUUAAAAUUUAAAUUUUUUUUAUUAAAUAUUUAAUUUUUGACAUUUUUAUAUUAAAAGUGUUUUUUAAAAGCAAUUUCAAACCAACUUUUAAUAUGGCCAAGUAAUGAAGUCCAAAUGAUAGAUUUUGUCUACGUACAUGUGUAUGAUUCUUCAAUGAAAUUUGAAUUUACAACUCUAUUGUUAUAAAUAAAAUACUUAUAACACCUUUGGUAAGUACAAAGAGAGAGUGCAAAUAAAGGGAGUUUUGGGUCAAAAUGAUCUAUUUAUUAAAAAAAAAAUAUAAGAUUUAACCACUUUUUGAAACUUAUGUUCAAAUUAGCCUCUUUGAUGCCACGUAGGCGCCAUGUAAUUAAUUUUUUUUUCAUCAUUUUAGUUAAAACCUCAAUUGACAACUGAUACUUCAUUUUUGAAUUGAAGUUGUGGUUGUCAACUGAAACUUAUUUUUAAAAUAAAGUCUCAAUUGGCAACUGAGACUUUAUUUUUGAACUAAAGUCGUAGUUAUCAACUAAGGCUUUAGUUAAUUUUUUUUAAAAUUAAAAAUUAUUAAAUUACAAUUUAUGAUUGAAAAUUAAAAAAUAUACUUAAAUAAUAAAUUAUUUAUAUUUAAACUUAAGAAUCUAAUAUUACUUCAACAAACAUAAAUUGAUAAAUAAAAGAUAUUAUAAAUGAAUAUUUUAUUUAUUAAUAAAUUAAUAAUCUUAAAAUAAUAAACUUAUAUAACAUAUAAAUAAUAUAUAAAAUUGUAUAAUUUAUUAAUUUAAGAUAUUUAGUUUUGAAUCAUAGCAUAAUUCCUGUUUUCAUUGCAUAUGACNNNNNNNNNNNNNNNNNNNNNNNNNNNNNNNNNNNNNNNNNNNNNNNNNNNNNNNNNNNNNNNNNNNNNNNNNNNNNNNNNNNNNNNNNNNNNNNNNNNNUUUCUUUUUUUCUUUUUUUUGAAAAAUUAAGAUUGUUUUACUAAUGGGUUUUAAAAUAAUGUUCCGUUUUUAAGAAAAAAUAAUCAAAAAAUGUGAUUGUAAUGAUUAGAAAAUAACAUUCUGGACAAGUUCAUAUGCAAUGAAAACAGGAAUUAUGCUAUGAUUCAAAACAAAGAAGAGAGUUAGAAAAUACAAAAGAUAUCCAACAAGAAAUUUAAAGAGAAGGAACCAAAAACUUAUUAGUUCAUAAUAAGCUUAAAACCGACCAUGUAGGCGGUACAAAAUAAAAACAUAAACUUAAAAACAAAGCUUAAUUAAAACCGACCAUGUAGGCGGUAUAAGAACAUAAAAUAAAAUGAAAAUAAUAAAAAACCAUCCAUAUAGGAGGCAAUCAAAACAUACUUAUAUUAUACAUAACGAGAAAUAUCUUACAAUGGACAGGAGUAGGAAAGCUUGAAGAAAGCUUGAAGGGUAACAUGAUGAGAGAGAAAGAAGAGAGAAGGGAGAGCUUCAGCUUGGGAGAGAAAAUUUAAGUGUUUUUACAAAUGAGGACCGAGCCUCUUUAAAUAGGCAAAAAAGGAAUCUUGAAUAGUAACCAUGAACAGUAGACUCGUGCUUGAAUAGUGAAUAGUGAAUAGUGAAUAGUAAGAUUCACUUUUAUACCGAAAUCCCUCGAAAAACCCUCUUUCGGCUGAGAAGACUUCUAGCAGGCUGCUUUAUACUGUGUAGACACAUGCUUGCUGCUUUUGAUGUCGAAACUGCAAAGCUUGAAAUAUUCUUGUUGACCGACCAUCAUGAGAAAUCCUUACGAUGAUCUUCAAGAAGCUUGAUAUAUUCAGUAAUAGACAUGGUUGGAAGAUGGUGUAACUUCUUGCCACAGAAAAUUUGAUGACAAGAAUCUGCAGCAAUAAGAUGUCCCAUAUUUCUUGGAAAAGCCUCAAAAUCCCUGCAAAUAAUUCUGGCUCUCCAAUGUUUGAUUUGCUUAAUAAUGGGUUCAGCACAAUUAUCAGAAAAUAGUAGAGGGUAAGAUAGUCGAGUAGGUCUCCUAUUCUGAUAGUGAAGAGAAACAAUGUGCUGAGCUGGAAUAAGCUUGCCACUAGAAACCCACUCAGGAGCUUUGCUAAUGAUGAUGGCGUUCGCGAAUUUCUUGUUCAUUUUAAAACCUUGGGUUAGACCAAGAGCAAUUUUUCUUCCAAACUGGGAAACUUGAUUGGGAUCAGAACAGAUGAUUUGAUGAACCAGACCAUGGUCCAGAAGCUUUUCUGGAGUUAAUAAUAAAUCUUCACCCUUGAAUUUGAUGCUGAUUGGCGAAUAGUAUUGUAAGUCCAAGCAAACACGGCUGAUUGUGAAAUUUCUGUUGCAGUUGCAAAUCAUUUUUUUUAUGCCUUUUUGGUACUGGAAAGGUUCUUCAAUCAUUCUGCAAAUUUUUGAAUCAUCAACUUCCUUAUCAGUAACCAAGCUUAAUCCUGGGACCUUAAGACCAAUAUUGGUAGAAAGAUAAAGAUGAAGAUCCUGGAGGUAUGAAGAGAUGAAGAUCUGUCUUUCUUCUGCUGAGGACUUAGCCUUUUCCAAAAUUAGGAGACGUAGAUCUGGCUUAAGAGAGUAUAGAUUCUCUUUCUUAUGAUGAUACAUUCUUAGCAUACAGUAACCCCACUCUUCCUCACUCAAUUUAUCAUUCACCAGUGGGGUAGAAUGCUUAUUCUCACCAUUUUCCAGUGGGGAAAAUGAGGCUUGAGCUUUUAACAUGAGCCUCCUUUAGAUGACAAGCCAAUUAUCUGUUUUAAAUGUGGCAAAGUUGGCCAUUAUAAAAAAGAUUGUAGAGUUAAGCAAAAGAUUAAUAACUUAAGUGUCUCAGAUGACCUAAAAAAUAUGCUUUGUAAGGUAAUGUUAAACUCAGAUUCUGAAUCAAGGACUGAUUUAGAUAAUGAAGAUGACAUUAAUCAACUAGACAGUAGUGGUGAAGUUUCUAGCCAAUCUUCUAGUGACCAAGCAAAAUGUGUUAAAGGUAAUUGUAAUUGUUGUCCUAAAACUAUAAAUGUCAUAAGCCAAGAUUAGGAAUUUAUCCUAGAUACUUUAAGAAAAGUUGAAGAUGAAAAGACUAAGCAAAAUCUUUAUGAAGUUUUUAAGAAAUCUGUUGUUAAGGUAGAAGCCAAGAAGACUGUUAAUCCUUAUAACCUUAAUGAUAUCUUAAACAAGUUUGACCAACAGUCUCCCAAGGAAGUCAGCAUUAAGGAACUUCAUGAAGAAGUUAAGCAGCAUAAAAAGGAGAUUAAAGAGUUAAGACAAUUCAUAAGUUUAGGUCUCUCUGUUCUCCAAGAUCAAAUCAAUAGAAUUGGCAACCAAGAAAACCAUAUGGAUAUUCCAGAAUCUUCUCAUGUUAAUGAUAAUGAGACAGAUACUUUUUUGAAUACUAUGAGUAGGGUUAUCUUCCAGAAGUGGGAAGUCUCCCUUACUAUAGUAGUCAAAGAUAAAUUUGCCUUUGAUAUUAUUGCUUUGAUUGAUUCAGGAGCAGUUGAAAAUUGCCUUCAAGAAGGUCUUGUACCUAUUCCUUUAUGCGAAGAGACUAGUCAGUCUCUAUUUGGAGCCAAUGGAAAAAGACUUGCCAUUAAGUAUAAAUUAACAGAUGUUCAUAUCCGUAACCAUGACGUCUGUUUCCCAGAGAUGGAAAGACUGCUGAUUCAUCUGUAAUGAUAAUAUAGUCCCACUGGACUAUCCAAGCAAGGCCAAAUUUGCUGAAGAAGAAUAGUGAAGGGGGAAAAGCUGAAAGUUCUCUAGGGAUAUCAAAAGAACUUCUGAAUAGCUUAAAGCCAUCCAGGAUGGGCUUAGGAAGAAUCUUAAUAGUCGGACCAUAAUAAUUCCACCAACUGUAGAACCAAAUUUGUUGAAGAAGAAUAGUGAAGGGGGAAAAACUGAAAGUUCUCUAGGGAUAUCAAAAGAACUUCUGAAUAGCUCAAAGCCAUCCAGGAUGGGCUUAGGAAGAAUCUUAAUAGUCGGACAAAUAAAUUAAUAUAUUAAAAAACAAUAAAUUAAAUAUCUUAAAUGAAUAAAUAAUACAAUUUUAUAUAUUAUUUAUAUGUUAUAUAAAUUGAUUAAUUUAUUAAUAAAUAAAAUAUUCAUUUAUAAUAUCUUCUAUUUAUCCAUUUAUGUUUGUUAAAGUAAUACUAUAUUUUUAAGUUUAAAUAUAAAUAAUUUAUUAUUUAAGUAUGUUUUUAAAAUUUUAUUCAUAAAUUGUAAUUUAAUAAUUUUUAAUUUAAAAAAAAAUUAACUAAAACCUCAAUUGACAAUUACGACUUUAAUUAAAAAAUGAAGUCUCAGUUGACAACUAUGGCUUCAAUUCAAAAAUGAAGCCUCAGUUACCAACUGAGGCUUUAAUUAAAAUGAUGAAAAAACUAUUGACAUGGAGUUUAAGUAGUAUUAAAGAGGCUAAUUUGAAAAUAAGUUUUAAAAAGUGGUUAGAUUUUAUUUUUAUUUUUUAAUAAAUGAGUCAUUUUGACCCAAAACUCAAAUAAAGAAGCACCUUCAAAGGCUCCAUGAAGUACAAUAUUAACAUUUGAAACUGCACUUCCUAUUUUGUCCGUAGCAUGUUGCCAGGGGGAAGGAAGGCCGUAAGGUCAGUAAUGUAAUUUGGGAGGAGAUCCACUCGAUGGUGGAUACUUCUAGGCGGUUCAGAAAAGAGCGGUGGCUAAAUAUGGAGGGAACUUAGGGAAGAUAUGCAACCGCACACGCGCCACGGGGGUUUUGCCGGUUUGAUGGUGAGUAAGCUUACCAGCUACUAACGCUAGCGCAAGCACCUCAUCGUCCAUCACUGAAAUGACCUCCAUGAUUAAUGCUGAACCCAUAUAUGAUAUAUCUAUAUAUAUAUAUUAUAGACGGUGUUUCAACUAAUUUUUGGCUAAUGAGUCCUUGUCCUUGUUAGCUCACAAAAAAUGUGGAAAAAAGCAAAGAAGAGAAACGAACAACUACAUAAAGCAAAAGCAGAGCCGGAAGACAAAAAAGGAGGAGCAAGUCCUGGUUCGAGUGCUUUAUAUGGUNNNNNNNNNNNNNNNNNNNNNNNNNNNNNNNNNNNNNNNNNNNNNNNNNNNNNNNNNNNNNNNNNNNNNNNNNNNNNNNNNNNNNNNNNNNNNNNNNNNNGUUUUAAAAAGUGGUUAGAUUUUAUUUUUAUUUUUUAAUAAAUGAGUCAUUUUGACCCAAAACUCAAAUAAAGAAGCACCUUCAAAGGCUCCAUGAAGUACAAUAUUAACAUUUGAAACUGCACUUCCUAUUUUGUCCGUAGCAUGUUGCCAGGGGGAAGGAAGGCCGUAAGGUCAGUAAUGUAAUUUGGGAGGAGAUCCACUCGAUGGUGGAUACUUCUAGGCGGUUCAGAAAAGAGCGGUGGCUAAAUAUGGAGGGAACUUAGGGAAGAUAUGCAACCGCACACGCGCCACGGGGGUUUUGCCGGUUUGAUGGUGAGUAAGCUUACCAGCUACUAACACAGGUAAAGAAUUUGAGCUAACCGUGUUAAAAUCUGAGUAAAUAAAGAUGGAUGUGGUUGCAACAUUCCUAUAAGAUCAUCAUUCAUGUGGAUUUCCAUGUCGGUUUAAUUUAAUUUAAGCCCUCCCACUACUACUUUAAAUUGCUGUAAUUUUUUACUUUGAAGUCUUAUUAUAGUUGUGGGCACUAAUUACGGACUUCCAUCCACCAUCUUAAAUCAACAAUCCAAUAUUCCACAGCAACUAAAUGUUAAAUGUCUCAACAAAUUGAUGAGCCACCAAAAUCCAUGCUUUAGAAGUCACUCCUCCAGUGAGAUCUUGGCAUGAACACAAACGAAGACUAGGGCCAUUGCAGUUUGGCAGGUGACUUUAUUAUCUUUGAUUUUUCCCUUCAGAAUUCAUCUCUUUUUUUUAUUUUAUUUUUUGUAAAUGGGAAUGAAAAUCCCAUUAACCUACAAAUUGGUUUUAAGAAAUACCAUAAAGAAGUUAUAAAUACAUCAAAAUAAUUUAUAUUCUUACCNNNNNNNNNNNNNNNNNNNNNNNNNNNNNNNNNNNNNNNNNNNNNNNNNNNNNNNNNNNNNNNNNNNNNNNNNNNNNNNNNNNNNNNNNNNNNNNNNNNNUGCUGUGGAAUAUUGAUUGUUGAUUUAGAUGGUGGAUGGAAGUCCGUAAUUAGUGCCCACAACUAUAAUAAGACUUCAAAGUAAAAAAUUACAGCAAUUUAAAGUAGUAGUGGGAGGGCUUAAAAUUAAAUUUAACCGACAUGGAAAUCCACAUGAAUGAUGAUCUUAUAGGAAUGUUGCAACCACAUCCAUCUUUAUUUAUGGAGGUUAUUUCACUGAUGGCUCAAAUUCUUUGCCUAGCGUUAGUAGCUGGUAAGCUACUAACAAAGGUAAAGAAUUUGAGCUAACCGUGUUAAAAUCUGAGUAAAUAAAGAUGGAUGUGGUUGCAACAUUCCUAUAAGAUCAUCAUUCAUGUGGAUUUCCAUGUCGGUUUAAUUUAAUUUAAGCCCUCCCACUACUACUUUAAAUUGCUGUAAUUUUUUACUUUGAAGUCUUAUUAUAGUUGUGGGCACUAAUUACGGACUUCCAUCCACCAUCUUAAAUCAACAAUCCAAUAUUCCACAGCAACUAAAUGUUAAAUGUCUCAACAAAUUGAUGAGCCACCAAAAUCCAUGCUUUAGAAGUCACUCCUCCAGUGAGAUCUUGGCAUGAACACAAACGAAGACUAGGGCCAUUGCAGUUUGGCAGGUGACUUUAUUAUCUUUGAUUUUUCCCUUCAGAAUUCAUCUCUUUUUUUUAUUUUAUUUUUUGUAAAUGGAAUGAAAAUCCCAUUAGCCUACAAAUUGGUUUUAAGAAAUACCAUAAAGAAGUUAUAAAUACAUCAAAAUAAUUUAUAUUCUUACCAUAUUGAUUAUUUCCUUCCCUCUUAAUUGUAGGGACCACCCCUAAGCGUACAUGUGGGGGCCUCACAAAGCACUCCUCCUUUGGACAUGUGGCACGUCCAACCCUCCAUCCGGAUGACCAUGGGAUUGGCAUGCGAUACACACCUCUCUUGUCCGAGUGUCCUGUCCAGACUCAGUGGUUAGCGUAUCAAACAAGAGUUUUGACCGCGUUUCGCAGGCAAUCAUUAUACAUUGUACUAAAAGCAUGCUCGACAGGAUCAUCCUGUGUUACUUCAGGCGACCUGCCACGACCUGCCCUACGCUGCCUAUAGAGCGAAAAGACAAAGAUGACGACAAAUCAUCCCUCCAACAGUCUCUGACAACCGCCUGCAGGAUAAUGAUGGUUUUGCCACCCUUUAAGCAAUAUCAUGACAACCAAAAAGUCUUUCCAUCAUUUUGAGGAACAAGGCUCCUAGCACGAUAAAGGCCUCACACACACUCAGAGAAGGUAAGCAUUCCUGUGGAGAAGGGCUCCAUAAAAAUAUUAAGAUGUUAGAAAGCAACACUAACAAGCAUCGGAUGGUGUGUUCGGAUCCCCUGUCUGGACAUCUUUUGCAAGUCAAAGGAAAGAAGUAUCAUCUUCAAUUGAGAAGGUGACUACAUUAGGCAACUUUAGUGGUUCUGGUAACACGAGACCUCAACAUUAAUGUUUUUCUCUUAUCACCUAUGUUUCUUGGUAUAUAUGGGUGGGAGGUAGUUUUGUUUUUCAAAAUUUUUUAAAUAGUCAUAUUUCUAUUUUAUUUUAUUUUAUUUUUAAAACUAAGAUACCUAAAAUUUUAAAAAUAAAGGUAUUUAAUGUAUUCUUGUUUUCUAAAGAAAAUUUGAAAACAAUAACAUCAUACCUUCUCCAUGAAAUCAAUAACAUCAAUGUCUCACUUGCUAUUACUAUGAUUAAAGAAAAAAAUUUCUUUUACUCCUUAUCAUAUAUCUAUGGAACAUUUAUUCAUUUUUGCUUUAAAAAUAAAAAUAAAAAUAGUGCUCAUAAAAAUCAAUAUUUUUCAAAAUCGGAUCGGUCAUUGAAUCGAAAAAAUUAUUGAUUUAUGAUUUAGUAGUUGAAUCGCGGCCAAAUAAUGAUAUAAUAAAUAUAUAAUUAAAUAUUAUAUAAAAUUAAAAUUAUUUAUAAAAAAAUUAAGAUAAAAAAUAAUAAUAAUUCAUUCUUUAUAUUUUAUGUUAUCAAAUUAAAUGGUAAGGAUAAAUAUAAAUAUAUUAAUAUUUUAAAUUUCAUUGAAUAAAACAUAUAUGAUAUUAUUGUAUAGGAAAAUUAUAAUAUUUAGUUUUAUGUCCAAAAUUGUAUAUCUUAUUAUUUUAUAAUAUUUAAAAGUAUCAUGCUAUUUUCUACUUCCUAUGUCACUGGCAAAUCCCACAUCGGAAGAUCAAGGAAAGAUAGGUGUAAAUACCCCUUCCAACUCAGUCACAGGGAUGGUAGUUCAUGGGUCAUAACCAGCCCAAUGAGGAUUAGAUUGUUGUACUUAUGGGCUAGAAGAAAUAGGCCCGAUGAUAACUAGCCAAAACAUUAAAAGAUUUUUUAUUGGUUCUUGAAAAAAAAAUCAGGCGGUUCAUACGGUUUGAUGGUUGGACUGUUGAAUUGACCGGUUCAACGCGGUUUGACGGUAGGACUACCGAUUUGAUAUAAGAACGGUCCAACCGAUUUGAUAUAAGAAUGGUUCAACCGAUUUGACAUAAGAACGGUUCAAUUAAGGAGGUCGACGGUCGGGCCGGAGUCGUACCUGAUCUGACUGGUUCGGUUGGUCUGCUUAAAUUAUGAUAAAAACAAGCCAAAUGAGUUCUCCUCUUUUUAAGCUAAAAGCAAGUCUAGUGAUAAAAGAAAAAAAGGCUGGCGGAUACCUUGCAGACUUUGUCGCACUACCCUUUCUUGUGUUUGACAUUAUCCUCUGAGAAUGGAAUGGAAUGAAUCUUUAUUCUCAACUUACCAAAGUAUGAUAAACCUCAAUAUUCUUCCAUUAUUUUUAACAAAUUUUAGUUGGCAAAGGCAUCUUACAUCACCUAAACAAAUAAUAUAUGAUUUUUUAAGAAGGAUUUGAAUAGAACUAGACUUGCUAAUUGUCCGUAACGUGGCAGCAGAAUUUCUUUAGCAAAAGUAAAGGAUAUACCAAACUUGAUAACUGGAUAAAGUUUGCAAAGAUCUUCUAUUCUUUCUUGGUCGUCCCACUUCCAUGAGCAUAACGGUUUUCCAAAUGAUGAUAAGCAUAAGUAUCAUUAGUAGACUUACCUGUUCUGGACCGACGUAUUAGCAGUGAUUGGGGCAAGGUGAUGAUCCAAUUCCAUGGAGGAGUGGGAAACAAGGAGGAACGUUGCAGCAGAAGAAGGCGAUCAAACAAGCAGGAACAGUGGCCAAACUGGGCCCGGGCCGGUUAAGGAACAUAGAAUUGAUAUGGAUGGACUCAGGCCUGGGCUGGAAAAUUGGCUAUUGUCUGUGGAAGAUGCAGAAGAAAGGACCCAUCAGUCUCAGACUCAACGGGGAAAGAUAGCAAAGGUUCCUCAGAUGCCGAGACGCAUCCAGGAUUUCGAGAAAUUCUAUGAAGCGAUGGUCAUUUCGUUCGAUCCUUAACAUCAUGGCAAACCCCAUCUUCACGAAGGGGAAAUGCGCAAGCUUCUAUGUGCCAGAAGGUUCCUGGAUGAGAGUCACCAGUUCAUCACCUUUUUUUACAGCAAAAUUGAAAGCAAUAUCGAGUUGGUGAGGAUGUGCUAUGAUGAGGAUCAGACAAACAAGUAUGAUAUGAGGAACUCGCCAGGAUGAUGCUUCUGGAUGGGUGUUUUUUACUACAUCUCAUCCACUGUGUGAGCAGAAAUGGGAGGAAGUAGCGUGGUUUGAAUGUUAAAAUUCAUUUGAUUAGUUUUGUGCACCAGGACUUGUUCUUGCUUGAGAACCAACUUCCCUUUGGAGUCCUCAAGUUGUUCGAGGGAGCAAAAUUCCAGGCUGAUUGGGAAUCAAAAAUGGAAGAGAUGAUAAAAAGUUUCAUCACUUCUAACACCGUUAUGCCACAAGCAAUGACGUUAGAAAUAGAACUGGCGGAGGAGCCGCCCUCUCGUCUACUCGACCUUUUGUGAAGUGGGCUUCUCGGCUCUGAGCCUGCAACUUAUCAAAAAAGACAGUCUCGAGGAAGAUGGGGGAUCGGUCGGAGGAAAAAAGGAAAACAACUAGGCAACUGGAUAUUGUAUCGGAACAUGACGGAGCUUGCAGCUGCCGGGAUCCAUCUUAAACACAGUAGGACGGGUUUCAUGAAAGACAUUUCUUUCGAGUCCUACUUCUUUGGAUACCUGAAACUUGCCCCAAUAAUCAUUGACACCUCCACGAAGCCCAAGUUGUUGAACUUGAUAGCUUAUGAAAUGUGUCCAAAUGCCCCAGAUGAUUUGAGUCACUUCUUAUAUAUAUGCUUCCUUGACUCCCUCGUUAAGCAUGGUGUGCAUGUGAUGCUGCUGCAAUCAAAUUACACUCUCUACAACUUUCUCGGCAGUGACGAAAAGGUGGCAGACCUCUUCAACGACAUUGCCAAGGAUCUGGUGCCAAACCCUCGUGUUUAUGCUGAUGUCAACACCGGAGUUCAGAAGCAUUACAAUAACAGGUAACAGUCGGUUUUUAUGAGUGUAAGAUAGUUUAAAUAAUUAGUAAAGCAAGGUAGUGGAAAAAAUAUUUCCAAGUCGGUCAUAGAGAAUUUGGAUUUGAUGGAAAAAUUCUCUUGAAAAGAGGAUUUCAACAACAACAAAAAUUCGUGAGGUAGAAAUCGUUUCUUAUAAAGAUCAUUUCAAAAAAUUAAUUUUAAAGAAAACAAAAUAUUUUCAUGUUUUUUUUUUAAUAAUAUUUUUACUGAUAAUGUAUUUUAACAAUAAAAUUAUUAUAAAUGUAUGUAUUUUAAUAAUAAUAUAUUUUGAUAUCAAUUAGAAACUCCAUUCCUAAGAAUUGAAACACCUGUCUCAGCUAUAUUGGCCUGGUUAAAACAAGCAGUUUGUCCAAAGUAUGCUGAAAAACCUAGAAUUGAGUCUUUGUUAACCUAACAUCUUCAUGAAAAAACUAUUUAAUAACAGUGAUUUAAUGACAAUAGGAACCACAGUAUUCUUAUGCAAAAGAUAUAUAUUGAUUGCAAAAGGGCGAAACUUGAGAGAGAUACAUGAAUUCUCGAGCUCAAAUACACAAUGGUUAUUUGGGGAAGUUUCAGGUAUCCAAAGAAGAAGUAGGACUCGAAAGAUAUGUCGCUCAAGUAAGUCGUCCUACUCGGUUUAAGAUAGAUCCCGGCAGCUGCAAGCUCCUUGAUGUUUCGAUGCGACUGCCAGUCGCCUUGUUGUUCGCCCGUUUCCCUUGGACAGAUCCCCCGCCAUAUUCCUCCAGACUGUCCUUUUUGUUCAGGUACAGGCUGAGGGCCGAGGAGCCCACUUCGCAAAAGGUCGAGGAGAUGAGAAGGCGGCUCCUUUACCAGAUCUAAUUCUAAAGCCACUCCUGGUGGCCUAGUGAUGUUAGAAGUGAUGAAUUUUUUCAUCAUCUCUUCCAUUGUAGCCGCCCCGAAUCUUGCUCCCUCGAACAACAACUUGAGGAUUUCAAAGGGAAGUUGGUUCUCAAGCAAGAACAAGUCCAGUCGCGCAAAAGCAAUGAAAUGACUUUUAACAUUCAACCCAUGCAAACUACUCUCAUCUCCGUUCACUACACAGUAGAUGAAAUAUAGAAGAGAACACCCAUCCAGAAGCAUCAUCCUGACGAGUUCCUCACUACUAUAGUUGUUUGUUUGAUCCUUGUCAUAGCACAUCCUCAUAACCCGAUAUUGCUGUCAAUUUCGUCGUACAAUUUGUAGAUGUCCUGCUCACUAACAUCCAGGAAGCUUUGGGCAAAUAGAUACUUGAGCAUUUCCCCUUGCUGAAGAUGGGGUUUGCCAUGAUGGUAAGGACCGAACGAAAUCACCCUCGGUUCAUAGAAUUUCUCGAAAUCCUGGGUGCGUCUCAGCAUCUGAGGAACCUUUGGUAUCCUUCGCCGUACCCAUUGAGUCUCAGAUCGAUCAGUCCUUUCUGCAUAUAGCACAGAAGCGAACCAAUCUUCCGGCCUAGGCGAGAUUUUAUCAAUAUCAAUUAUCUGCCUAAGCGGCUCGGGCCCAGUUUGGCUACUGUUCCUGCUUGGUUGAUCGCCUUCUUCUGCUGCAACGCUCCUCCUUGUUUGCCACUCCUCCAUCGAAUUGGAUCACCACCUUGGCCCAAUCGGCAAUCACUGCUAGUUUGUUGGUCCAGAAGAGGUAAGUCCACUGAUGAUAUUUAUGCUUAGCAACAUUCGGAAAACUGUCAUGCUAAUUAAAUUGGGACGACAAAAGAAGAUCUUUGCAAACUUUAUCCAGUUAUCAAAUUUGGUAUUAUCUAUUACUUUUGCUAAAGAAUUUCAGCUGCCACUUCCUGGUCUGGUUCCAUUCAUAUCCUUGCUAACCAACUAAAAUUUGUCAAAAAUAACGAAAGAAUAAUGAGGGUUAUCAUAUAGUAUUUUGAUAAGUUGAGAAUAAAGUUGCAUUCCGUUCCUUUCUGAAAGCCUGAAAAUUUCUUUUGCAGUGAAGUUGGGUUUGUCAAUACGUUCACAAAGCCAUCCGAGAUUUGGUUGUCGUUACUGGUCUUGUUUAUAAAGGGAUUGCUAGUUACUUAGGCUUUCAGGAUUGAGCCGCCCCAUGGGCUGAUAUCUGAGCCAAUCUGCUGUAACCCUGGCCCCGAUCAGGCUUCUUGUACUUAUGGGCCAAUUUGAUGAAAAUUUAAAAUGUUGGACUGUUUUUGUUAGUUCCGUUUUUCUGAUUUUUAAAAGCAAAAAUAAAUACACGUUCGAUUGUAAUAUGAUAAGGAGUAAAAGAAAUUUUUUUUUUCUUUAAUGAUGGUAAUAGCAAGUGCGACACUGAUGUUAUUGGUUUUCAUAGCAAAGAUAAGAUAUUUUUAAUUAGUAGCAUGUAUUAGGAUAUUUUUGAGAAAUAGACUAUGAAAAAGAUAAACAAACAAGACAUAGGAAGUUUGGUGAUGGCAAUAGUGCAAAAUUUUAAAUUUCACUCAAAAUUUACUUAUACAGUAGGGUGAUUAUUUAAUAUUUUCAUGGAAAUAAUUUUUUUUUUAAAUAAAUAAAUUCUUACAUGACUAAUUUAUUCAAAAGUCAAAACCUUUACUUGCUUCAUUGGUCUGGGCGAUUCAUGACAAAAUAUUAAUAUUCUAGACUUAUUAAUUAAUUUAGAAACCAAGCCAUGCAUAGAGGCCAAGGCCAAUGAGAAGGUGAGGACACUAGUGGUCAAAGGAAUGGUGAGAUCCUCCAAUGUUUCAAAGAAAGACUCAAGUCUUUGGGUAUUGCCUUCAAAAACAUCUUCAUUCUCCACCGCUUUAAGUGAAUAAACUUUUGUAAUAACAAAUGGUAUCUUGGGUUUACCCAAAAAUAGAUGGAGCUAUUUUAGAGUCAUAAAGAAAAACCUUUUCAUGUAGUGUAAAAAUGUCUUAGCUAUUUUAGAGCUAAGACAUCUUAAGCUCAAUCCAUGCUGACAAAAUGACAAGCUAGAUUUAAAAACAUUUCUUUUUCACUCUCUAACAUCUAAAAAGGCCAAAAGAAUCAAAAUAACUUAGUGCGUGGAAGAAAAAGAAAGUAACAAGACAGCUGGAAAAGCCAAAUCUACCAACCUGUGGCGUGACCAGAUGUCGAAAGUGUUGAGGGAAGGCUUUGGAAGCAGUGAGUGAGAAGUGAGAACAGCGUAGGAUGAUGAAGAUUAAUUUACAAUGGGAAACUGGGGCACUGCCAAGAUGCUUUUAAACUUGGCCCCACUCAACCAUUUAAAGGCACUGAGAGUGAAUGAGACCCAGGAAGCUGCCCUUCAACUAAUUCUCAAAGGCAAUCCCUUAAAGCAAUGAUCAUUGUUCAGUGUAAAAUUAAAAAUAAACCGACGUACGCUUCCACCAAUUUUUAAAAAGUUGAAUAGAAAAUUGAAGUCUCGCCUCAGCUCUUGUCCUUUUCGAUAAAUAACUGCUAUCUACCAGUCUACCAGACUACCACGAACACGAAUUACACCCAUUUUUACAUUAUUAAUAAUAAUAAUAAUUGUUAGAUGAUGGUCUAAUACUAUCAUCAUGAGGCUAAUAGUCUAACACCAUCACCAAUAAAAUUUGAUGUGAUUUGAUUGAAAAGUAUAAAUCAAAUUAUUAUAUUGAGGUAAAUUUUCAACUCUAUUUAGGCCUUAAAUAGAGUUUCAUUAUUUUCAUUAUUAUUUUCUUCUUCGAAAGCACUAUUUAGGCCUUAAACUCUUCCUAAUUCCCUCAAAAUAUCUUGCAAACCUGAAUGAAUCUUGAAUUUUUAGAAAUUGGGUUUUUUUUUCUCUUCGGUUAGGUUACCGCAUGAAACUUGUUUUUAAAUUUAAAAGAAGAGUUUCAUGUAAAAAAAAAUUAAAUUUCAUCACCAAUCAUACAUGCGAUAUGAAUAAUAUCUCCUCUUUUAUUUUAUCUCAUGUUAUAUCCAAUAAACUAAAUGUGACCUAGGGUUUUAAUGAGACAAUUUCUAAGAGUGAUUAUAGUCCAAGGGGAGUGUUAUAAAUAUUUAUGGUAGUUUGUGGGUAACAACUCUACUAUCAUGUUUGUACUUUUACCAUAUUGGUGUUAUCUUUUAGCAUGUAAAUAAGGGUUUAUGAAUUAAUAAAGAGAGACUUAACAAUUAAAUUAUUUAUAAUUAAACAUGCAUAACUAUCAUAGUUAAGAUUUUUAGGAGAUUUGUUUUUUUUUUUUAAUUAUUGUGCAAAAAUUCCCAAAAUCGAUAAUUGAUUGGAUAAAUCAUUAAUUAUCAUCCUCUACCAUCAAAAUAUUUCUUUUCCAAAUUUCUUUCUAUAAAUGAUAUCUUUUAUGUGUGGUGGUGCUUUACUUCAAUUUUAGAAAAAAAAAUAAAACGGGAUAUAUAGAAUUGGACCUGUCAGCACUUUGAAACUUCCUUGGCCAAUGCAACCAUAGUUGCCUCAAAAUAUGUCACAAAAUAGUAUGGAUGGUGAAUUUCAUUUAUUGGGUAAUUUCAUUUUUUAUUUUUUUUCAAAAGAGGUUUUUUAGUGUUAUUUUAAAAAAAUACUAUUAAAAUAAAAUAUUUUUUUAUAUUUUGAGAACUCUAUAAUAGGGUGGUUUUAGGGAAUAAUUAUUUGAUUCAUGAAAAAGUACAUACAUAUUAAAUUAUUUUAAAUUGAUGAAAAUAAUAUUGGUUUUAAAAAAUUUUGGUUAAUUUUUUUUUAGAUUUUUUUAAAUCAGUGAGUAAAAAUCCAUUUUUUCCUUUUUUUAUAUUACACCAAAUUCCUUUUCAUUCUAUUCCUAAUUUUUCUAAAAUUAUAAUAAUAUCAAAAUAUAUCGAAUAACAUAAAUGAAGCAAUAAUAAAACCACCCACCCUGAGAGCAAUGUGCAAUGUGAUUUCACAUUUGUAAGGAUUAUGUCCGCAUUCUUUCACAUUACUUAAGAUGAAUAUGAAGAGAUAUUUAAAGUGUAUAGGAUUUUGAAGUCUUUUUAGGUUUCUUAUUUUCCCUUGAAUCAUGAUACUAUGAGUUUGAAGAGGAAAAAAUAAAGAUAAGAGAAAAUUUAUAAUAAUACAAUUAAUUUAUGUAUUAUUGCUCUCCAAUGAUGAGAUAUUGGAGGAUGAUUCAUUAUAAAUUGAAGUUGUAGAUAAUAAUGAUGGAUUUUCCAAAGGAAAUUUAGGUACUAUACAGACAAAAUAUUCAAAGUCUAAUUUUUGAUCCAAUCCCUAGAAGUAGUUGUGGAAGUUGAUAAGAGAAGUAAAUAGUCUUUGACAUCAAGGAGGCCAAUUGAUUUGAAAGUACAUAUAGAAGAGAUGAAACAAAUAAUAUUAUGUUCACCAUCACACUUUAUUACACAUGAAAUGUGUAUUUAUACAUAUAAAAAUCUAAUAUUUAAAAAAAUAGAAAAUAAUAUAUAAUAAAAACAAGAACAAAUAAUAUUUUUUUUUUAAACCAAGGGACUAACUUAGGGAUGACAAUGGGGCGGGUCAUUUCAGGUACCUGCCCCACCCCGCCCCUAAUGGGACGGGAUAUUAUUUUCCUAAUCGGGUAUGGGACGGGUUUGUGAUUUUUUUUUAAACCCGGGGCAGGUUCGGGUAUUGCUCCACCCCGCCCCACCCCGCCCCGAUUAUAUAUAAAAUUAAAAUUAAAAUUUAAUUUAAUUUAAAAUUUAAAAUUAUUUUAAUUUAAUUUUUAUUUUAUUAUUUUUAAUAUAUAGAUAAUAAUAAAUUAUUUUUAAUAAAAUAAGUUAUAAAAAAUAUAAUAAUUUAAUUAUUUAUAAAAUAUAUUUAUUUUAAUAUAAUUAAAAUUUUUAAAAGUAAUUUAAAAAAAAUUAAAAUUAAAAUUAAAUAAAAAGUUAAACGGGGCGAGUAUGGGAAUGUAGCAUACCCGUCCGCCCCGCCCGUUUAAUUUUUUAAAUGGGACGGGGAUGAGAAUUGCUAUAAAUAAAAGGGGCGGGGUUGGGAGGGGGGCGCCCCGCCCCGUUGCCAUCCCUAAACUAACUUUCUAUUUUUUUUUUUAUUUGUAUUCCUAAGACUAUCUUUGAUUCCAUGAUAUUUGGUGCUCAAAAAGUUGGAAGGAAAAUUUAUAAGAAAGAAAAUAUAAAAGGAAAGAAAAAUAAAAAUAAAAAAUCCAUAAAAUUUGAUAAAAUAUUGGUCAAUGAUUCAUUAUAAAUCGAUAAAAUUCAAAGUUAAAUGUGAAAUUGCAGGUAAUAAGGAUGGAUUUUCCAAAGGAAAUUUAGGUAUUAUAAAGAUAAAAUUUUCCAAGUCUAAUUUUCAAGUCAAUCAUUGGAAGUAGUUGUGGGAGUUGAUGAGAGAAAUAAAUAGACUUUAAGAGCGAGGAGGUUGAUUGAAUUGAAAAUACAUAUGUAUAUUGAGUUAAUACUUUAAGAAGUAGUUAGAAAAUGAAUUUUUAAAUUUAUUUAAAUUACUAUAUUUGAGAGGAAAGAAAAACACCCUAGCUAAUGGGAUGAAUAACAAAGAUCAAUGUUGACUUUCAACCCAAUCCUUACCUUCGAGGGUAGAAUUUGAUAGAUUUGAUUUGAAGUAUGCUACUAAUAUUUUUAGACGUUUUUUAUGGCGAGGUGAAACAAGAAUAGUUUUUGAUAGAUGGGAUAAAACAAGAAUUCAUUGCCACACUCCAUACAUGUAUUCAAUUUAUAUUUCUAUGUAUGAAAAUCUAAUAUUCUAGAGAUUUUUUUUUUGGAGAAUGAUAUAUAAUAAAAAUCUGAAUAAGGAAUAAUUUUUAUUCAAAGGAUUAACUUUCUAUCUUUUCAAUCUUGUAUCUCUAAGGUUAUGCUUGACUCUUAAAAAUUUAAGGAAAAAUAUGAGAGAAAAAAAACAAAAAAAAAUAGAAGAAAGAGUGAAGGAAAAUGAAAAAGAGAUUUAAAUUCUAUAAAUUAUUUUUAUAUGUUACUUUAAAUUCUAAAAAUACUUGUAUUUACUGAAUUUUAAAGAUUAAAAAAUUUACUUAGUUUAACUUUUGAAAAUUGUUUUUGAAUAGGAAAAUAGCGAAUAGAUGUUUGGUGAUCUAAAAACAAUAAAAAUAAAGGUUGGUGUUUAAUAUAAUUGUUUUUAAACAUAGUUUUAUGUAAAAUAAUAAGACCUUUAAUAAUGUUUUAAUAUAACUAUUAUUAAAUUUAUAAAUUUCAAUAUUUAGUAAAUAAACAUAACAAUAUAUAAAUAUUCAAUUUUAAUAUUACUAAUAUUAAAAGAUCUUGAAUAACAUAAAUGAAGCAAUAAUGAAACCACCCACCCUGAACAGUGUGCAAUGUGAUUUCAUAUUUGUAAGGGCUACGUCUACAUCAUUUCACAUUACUAAUAUUAAAAGAUCUUGAAUAACAUAAAUGAAGCAAUAAUGAAACCACCCACCCUCAUAGCAAUGCGUAGUGUGAUUUCACAUUUGUAAGGACUACAUCCACAUCAUUUCACAUUACUCAAGAUGAAUAUGAAGAGAUAUUUAAAGUGUCUAGGAUUUUGAAGUCUCUUUAGGUUUUUUAUUUUCCCUUGAAUCAUGAUACUAUGAGUUUGAAGAGAAAAAAAAAUAAGGAUUGAAGGAGAAAAUUAAUAAUAAUACAAUUAAUUUAUGUAUUAUUGCUUUCCAAUGAUAAGAUAUUGGAGGAUGAUUCAUUAUAAAUUGAAGUUGUAGAUAAUAAGGAUGGAUUUUCCAAAGAAAAUUUAGUUGAUUUGAAAGUACAUAUAGAAGAGAUGAAACAAAUAAUAUUAUGUUGACCAUCACACUUUAUUACAUAUGUGAAAUGUGUAUUUAUACUUAUAAAAAUCUAAUAUUAAAAAAAAAAUAGAAAAUAAUAUAUAAAAUAAACAAGAACAAAUUAUAAUAAUUUCUUUUUUAAAUGAAGGGACUGACUUUCUAAUUUUUGAUAUUUGUAUUCCUAAGGCUAUCUUUGAUUCCAUGAUAUUUGGUUCUCAAAAAGUUGGAAGGAAAAUUUGUAAGAUAGAAAAUAUAAAAGGAAAGAAAAAUUAAUUCUUUUAGAGUGAGUGAAUGAGACCCAGGAAGCUGCCCUUCAACUAAUUCUCAUCAUCCAUAUCAACAUUCCAAAAAAUUAACAGUCACAAAGCACCCACCCAAAACUUUUAGAAAAUACUCUGCUGCCAUGGAAAUAAAUUCCAAACAUGAAAAAGCAAACAACCGCCACUUAAGGCUUUCCAUGACGUUUGAUGAUAAAAGCAACUCAAGGGAUAAUUUUUCCUAUUUUUAUGUCAUUUAAAAUAUUAGAGUUGUACGUUCAUACCAUGUUGAUAAAUUUGUUAUAUAUUAUAAGGUUUCAUACAUGACCACAAUGAGCUGUUCUGGUUUCAAACCGAGAUGAUGGGACCCACUUCUACUACAAUAUUUUUGUUUAGGAAUGCAACACGUUUUGAUUAUUAAAAGAGUGGGUGGUAUUUUGAAAAAAAUCUAUUAACUUUAAAAUUAUUUUCAAAUCUAUGACAUGAUUUUUUUUAUUUUUUUUAAGGUAUCAAAAUUAUUAUUUAAAAAAUUUAUUUAAUAUUAAAAUUACUUUUUAUUGAGAAUGAUUUUAAAACUAUCAUAUUUUUUUUAAAAAUAAGUGACAUUUUUUUUAUCAAAAUAUCAAAGUAGGCUAAGAAUUCUCUUAGAGGAAAGACCAUCAAUUUCUAAAAAUUUGUUUGACAAUAAUUUUAAAAAAUACUUUUAACUCCUUCAACAUUUUAAAAUUUUUAUCAAAUUAAAAAUUACUUUCAAAUGCUAAAAAGAAUAAAAAAAAAUUUUCAAAUUAUUUUCAUAUAAAUCCUAAAAAUGUGUUUAAUAGUAUUUCUAAGAAACAUUUUUUUAUGUUUUUAACAUUUAAAUUUUUUUAUUUUUCAAGUAUUAAAAAAAUUAAAAAUAUUUUUUAAAAUUAUUCUUAGACAUAAUUUAAGAAACUGUUUAAUAAUAAUUUUAAAAAAUAUUUAUAAUUUUUUUAAUACUUAAAAUUUUUUAUCAUUAAAAUAUUUUUAAGACUAUAAAGUACCUUGUAAAUCUACUUUCUAUUAAUCCCUUCAAUUUUGAAUCUUGUUUGAAGGACAAUGUACGUAGACGGUAGUAGAUGACAGUUAUUUAAUGGACUUUAACUUUAGACAAGGACAAUCUAUUUACCCAGGUGACAGUUAUUUAAUUGACUUCAAUUUAAACAAGGAGAAUCUAUCUACACGGUAGUAGAUGACAGCUAUUUUAUUGACUUCAAUUUUAUUUUUAACUUUUGUAAACGCAGGGGAAAGGGGGGGAGGGGGUGGGGUGGAGAUGGGCAAUAUUAAAAGCCCCUUGGCAGUCCGCAGUGCCCCAGAGUCGCAUUGCAAAAUCCUCAUUCCGCUGUGUUGACACUCCGUGCUUCCACCGAUAGUUUCAGCAUCUCACCCGACAGGUUCGUAGAUUUCGCUCUUCUAAUUGUCUUAUUUACUCUCUUUUCCAUGCACAAAGUUAUUUUUUAUUUUUAAGCUUUUUUUAGCCGGAGAGUUAAAGGCUAUGCUUGGUUGCUAGAAAACAUUAGAAAAAAAAAAUAUUAACACAAUGUUUAGUUGUUGGAUAAUAUUAAAAUAUUAAAUGAUCACACACUACUGUAUAAGUAAAUUUUGAGUGAAAUUGAUACAUAUUUAUGGUUUGUAAAGUGAAUUUAUAUGUCUUAAUCAUGAUGCAUGUAGCAUCAACAACUCUUGAGUGGAUGAGAAUAAAAUUUUUAAGGCAGUAUGAAUAAAAGAUCUUCCCAUGUUACAUUAUUCAAUUUUGGACGAUGAAUCAGGAUUUGUUUUUAUUGUCAAUCGUUUUAGUUACAAAACACAAAAUCUAUAUUUUGAUUUGGGGAAUAAUUCAUUUUUGUUGUCCUUUGGAUAUCUAAGUUAUGGUUUAUUAAAAAAAUGUAAAGUGUAAAUUAUUUUUAAAAGCAUAAAUGAUGUAAACACAUAAUUUGUUAGGACUUUGUUCACACGUCUAUAUACUACACUCAUUGUUGUGAUUUUCUAAUUACCAUCCAUAAUGAAAUCUUGACCUGAAGCAAAAACUCUGACUUGUUGGAUGAAAGCUACCAGCAUCAAGGAUUUUAGGGUUUUUACAUGCAUUUUAUUGCGGAAAGAAUGUGAAAGACGUCACUAGCCUAUAUUACGCAUGCAUUAGGCUAAGGGUGUCUCACAUUCGUGACCUCCCUUGAAGCUUGAACUAUAGUUGAUUGGUAGAUUAUUUUCAAAGUAUCGACAAAUUUGCAUUUAGUUUUUGGCUAAUCACAAUGAGUUAAUUUUCUUAUUUAUCCCCAAAUUUAUUUGAUUUUAUUAUGCUUUUUGAGACAUUCAAUUAAGCUUAUAGGCAACUUGCUAUUCGAUCUACUGAUUUUAUUGAGUAGAGCAGGUGGAUGAGUUUAGAAAAAUAAAUUACACAAAUUCAUUUAAUAUAGUUUAUUUGCUAAAAAUUGGGAAUAUGAUGUGAUGGGUACAUAUAUACUUGCUUUUAUAGGAUGUUUAAAAUGUGAUUUGAUUUUUUGCGUAGAAACAUGAUUAAAGGGUUUGAAUGCUUUGAAAUUAGCAUUUAUAUUAUAGUUUCACUUGGUAAAUAACAUCUUUUCAUUAGGCUUUGUAUAAGCUCAUAAGUUUUUACAAGGGAAUCAAAGUUUUAUUCUCAACGUCGUAACAUUCUUGAUGAAAUUCUCUUUGAAGGGAAAAAAUAACGUGGGUUCAUGGCUGAUUCUUUUUUAAAAUUUUAGGUUCAUAAUGGGUGAAAGUUCUCUUCCUAUUGAGCAAACAAUUGAUAUUGAUGAUUUGGUUGCUAAGUUAGAAGAAAGUGCUCAAUCUCAAAAUGGAUGGCUUACGAUACCUAAGGUUCCGGUGACUUUGAGAAAUAUCCUGGAUUUCCCUAAAUGGAUUGAACCAAGCGUGAUUUCAAUUGGUCCCUACUACCAUGACCAUGAUAAUCUCCAAGAAGGGGAAAAACUCAAGCCUCUAUGGGCCAAAAGGUUCAUUGAUGAUAGCAAUCAAGGAGUUCGUUGCUUGUAUCAGAAAAUUGAAAGAAAGAUACGGGAACUAAGGAAUUGCUAUGAUAGCCAAGCAAUAUUAAAAUAUAAUGACAAGCAACUAGCUACAAUGUUCGUGCUAGAUGGAUGCUUUUUACUACAUUUCAUCCGUUCCUUCUGCAGUAAUAAGGAGGGUGGGCUCAAUGGUUCAAAUUUUACAAAUCAUCAUAUAGCUUAUAUUCAACAAGAUUUGUUCUUGUUGGAGAACCAACUUCCCUUUCAAGUCCUCAAAUUGUUGUUCCAGGAUGCACAAUUUCAAGAUUCCAACUCCAUGGAAGAAUUGAUAAAAGAGUUUGUCACCUCUAAGAUCAUCAUGAGUCGAGGAAAAUUAGGAAGAAAAUUGAAAGACGAGGGAAAGGAGCCCUUUCAUCUCCUAGACCUUUUGCGAGGUGUCCUCUUAGGCAAAUUGAAAAACAUUAGCAAGCCACCAGUCGUGGUGAGUGAACUGCAACAAGUUGUGGUGAGUGAACCACAACAACAGAUGCAAGAAGUUGAUGAGAAAGGGAACUCUCAAGAAACAAAUAAGAAACAGAUUCAGUUGUCUUCUAAUCGAGGAAUCUUGGGCUCCACACGCACAUCCAGCAAAGAAGAGCAUGAGAGAUGCCUCUGGCACUCAUAUAGAAAUGUCCAGGAGCUUAUGGCAGUGGGCAUCCAUUUUAAGCCGAGUGAGACAAGUUUCUUGACAGACAUUUCUUUCACUUCUUACUUUGGCAUCACUGGAUGUCUCAAGCUUCCUCCCGUGACUAUUGACAGGUCAACUAUGAUAAUUUUCUUGAACUUGAUAGCUCAAGAAUCCUCAAGUAACCUCAAUGACUUUGGUGUGAUCUCUUACCUAUGCUUCCUCGAUUCACUCAUGGAUCAUUGGGAUGAUGUUCAGGAGCUUCAAGCAGAUAGAGUACUUCAUAAUUUUGUUGGUGACCAGAAAGAAGUGGCCCAAUUUUUCAACCAUGUAUGUGGCAAAUUAUUACCGGAUGUUAAUUCUUAUAAAGAUGUCACACUACAAAUUGAAAAGCAUGUUGAGAGGCACUAUAAUAGCAAGUUGCGGAUGUUGUUGAUUCAAUGCAAGCAUACCUAUUUUAGUAGCCCUUGGAGUGUCAUUGCUUUGGUUGGUGCGCUUCUAGGACUAUUCCUUACUGCUGUUGAGGCUUACACUUCAGUCUUCCUUCAAUCCAACUACUAAUGCGCCAUUUCCAAGUAUAUCCUAAAACUCCUACCAUAGCAAGUAAGAUACUUGCCCUCAAAAUUUGUAUGGCUUCCUUUCAUUUUCUGUCUAGCUCAAAUUAAUUUGUGUAAUUUUUUUUUUUUCACUUUCUGCUUAGCCCACAUAUCUGGUUUCGAUGCUUUAUUGCAAAAUUGCUUUUGGUGUAAAGGGUUUGUUAUGAUAACAUGAGCUCUAACACCACUUGUUAUACAUAUGGAAACUUUAACACCAUGAGUUAGUGCAAAAAAACGUAGAUAAAGCAAAAUCACAUGAAAGGGUAUAUAAAAUUUUAACAUGAUUUGAUCAAUUAUGUCUUAUUUACAAUAAAAAUAUCACUCUUUUAUAUCAUAGAAAAUAAUAUAUAUAAUAAAAGAUAUAAUGUUGAGCCUUGAAAUAUUAAUAUUUCUUUACCCACUUUUUCUCACGUUCAUGGCUACUUACUUUUUCCAUUUCAUCACUUUUUCUAUUAAUGAUUUAGAAUAUUUGUGAAGAUUUUAAAAUUUGUUGUUUUUAGGCCACCAUUUUCCUUUUGCUGAAUGGCCUCCGCGGCGGCUCAAAAUGCUUCAAAUCAGGACCUAUUAAAAUGAGAAAAUAAAUAAGUUAUAAAAUAAUUAUAUAAUCAUGGAGAAUAAUUAAAAAUAAAAUACGACAUCUAAAAAUUAUUCGUAAAACAUAUUUAAAAAUAUAAAAAAAUAUUUAAAAUAUUUUAGAUUUUAAAAUAAACUUUUAUUCUAUAAAUAAAAAUUGUUCUUACUUUUACAAACACAAUCCAAAGAAAAACUAAACUAGUUUUUUGAGAUAGCGAUUCAACUUUUUUGCAUUAUUAACACAAAAUUGGGUUUUUAAAGCACCACAGGUUCUGUCUCAAUGGCAACUUCUAACAUCAAACAAAACUCAGGUGAGAUUUUUUAUACAUUCAAACUGUUGGAAUAUCUACCAAAAUUAAUAUCAUAUUCUUGAGCUAUAUUUAAUUAUUUAGAAAUAUUAAAAAAAAAUAUUAAAAAUAAUUUUAUCAUAUUUGACUAUAUUAUAGAAAAUAAAAAAAUAAUAUAACUUAAAUUAGUUAAAAAUUUAUAUAUUUUUAAAUUAUUUAAUCUUCAUAUAUAAAAGUUUAAAUAAAUAAAUUAAAUUUAAAGUAACAUGUAAAAAAAAAUUAUAAACUUUAAAUCUCCUCUUUUUUUUUUUCACAUUCACUUUUCUUUUACUUUUUCUUUUUAUUUUCUUUCCCUAAUCUUUUUUCUUUUAAAUUUUUUAGGAGUUAAACAAAAUGUAAGAGAUGCAAGGUUACAAAAGAUAUAUAGAAAGUUAGUCACUUAACUUAAAUUAAUAAUAAUAAUAAUAAUAAUGACUGUUAAUUGUUUGAGUUUUUAUUAUAUGUUAUUUCUAAAAAUUCGAGAAUACUAGAUUUUCAUAUAUAUAUAUAUAUAUAUAUAUAAAUUGUGUACAUAUAUUGAAUGUGACUGAAUUUUUGUUUCAUCCCAUUUAUCAAAAACUUCUUACAAAUAUUCGUAGUGUACAUACUUAUUUUCAAACCGGCUUAAAAGGGUUUUGAUCAAAGUCAACACCAAUCUUGGUUUUUAUUUUUUAUUUUUUUUCAUAAAUAUGAUAAUUUAAAUAAAUCGUUUUUUGUAAAAGUAUUUUUAAAACUACCACAAUUUAUGUCAACUGAAAUCCAAAUGGAAGUUGUCAUCUAAAAAUUACGAUGUCAACAUAGAACUUGUUUGAAAGACGAGUUCUAUAUAAAAUAAAUAAAUUUAUAUUUUAUAUUAAACUUGUAUUUUAAAAAAGAAGAACCUUAUUAUUCAUAAUAAAUUUGUUUUUGAAAAAAAUAAGUUAUUUGUUAAAAAAUAUCUCACUAUCAAACUUGUCUUUUAAAAGAAAUUAGUUCAAUAUUAGCCAUAGAGAAAAAACCUAAUAUUAGUCUUUUUCUAUGAGUUUUUUCUUUUUCUUUUUUCUACUUAAAACUUUAAAAUGAAAUAUCACCGAAAACAAAGAUAUUAUUUCUAAAGAGAAAUUUAGAAAAGAAUUAAUUCGAUGAAAAAGGUCUCUGACUUGUUAUUAGUGUGAUCAACUAUGUGCCAAGUAGAAAUGAAGUGAAAUCAUAAAAUUAGUGUAAAAAAUAAGUAGUUCAUUGUGUUGCAAUAUGAUGUAAAAAAAUCAAUUUUCCUUUAUAUUAAUCUUAUCUUUUGAAAUGAUACAUUUAUUAAGUUUUGUAGCCACAAUGAACCAAUAUCUUAAAAGAUGUGUUUUUAGUAAUUAUAUAUAUAUAUAACUCACCUUCUUUAACAUAAGAGUUUUCAUAUUAUAGUUUUUGUUAUAGAAUUCUUAAUAUUGUAAAAUUACUUUAUUUUAAUAGUAUUUUUUAAUAAUAAUAUUUAGAAAAAAUAUAUAUAAGAAAAUUUACACAAUAAUUGAAACUCACCAUAAAUACAAUUUUGUUAAAGAUGUUUUGAGACAACAAUUGGUGCAUUAGUUACAUGGGCUAAGGAAAUUUCAAAGUGGGCACAAGUCCAAUUUUAUAUAUCCCGUUUUCACUAUCUAAUGAAGUAUCACCACACUUAAAGAUAUUAUUUGUAGAAAAAAAUUUGGAUGCAACCGGAUGCAAAACUUGUCGCCGAGGAAGAAAAGCCCACUCAUCUCCUUGACCUCCUGCGUAGAAAACUCCUAGGCAAACAAAGAACUGCCCGAACUGGAAAUGAUGGUUCGUUCUUAUAUGGAAAUGUCAAAGCGCUUAUGGCAACAGGGAUCCGAUUUAGGCGUAGCAAGACAGGUGAAUUGAGAGAUGUUUCUUUCACCUCUCACGGUAUGAUUGGCUAUUUGAACCUCCCUCUAUUAGCCAUUGACCGCUCUAGUGUGCCACGGCUGUGGAAUUUGAUGGCCUAUGAAGUGUGUCCGAAUAUGACCACUGAUUCUGGCGUCACCUCUUACGUAUCCUUCCUUGAUUCACUCCUUGAUAAUUCUGAGGACGUCAAGGAGCUGGAGUCCACCCGAGUGCUCCAAAACUUUUUCGGCGGCAAUGAAGAAGUGGCUCAAUUCUUCAACUCCAUAUCUGUCAACUUGGCGGUACGAGACUUCAGUGCUUACUAUUAUGCUACGGCAGACAUUAGAGCGCAUGUUCGAAGCCACAACAGCAAUAGAACGUACAUUUGGAUGAUUCAACUCCUGGACACCUAUUUCACUAGCCCCUGGACUAUCACAGUUCUGGUUGCUGCAAUUUUAGUACUAUUCCUUACUGAUGUUCAGACUUACUUCAGUCUUCCCUCGUUCCACCUACUAAUAGUGGUGUCUCCAAGUCAACUGAAACCUAGUUUUUUGUCGAAAUUAACUGUCAUGAGGUUGACAGGGCCCUGUAAACUUGAUCUUCUUGUCGCAGCCCAACCCUAGCAACACACUUCUUCUCAAUUAUUGAAACCUAACUACCAUGUUUGGAAUGAGAAUCCAGGUCCACGGUGGAAAGAGGGUUUGGUCUUGUGCAUUCAAAUUGCUUGCCUGAAGUCAAAAGUCACAUUUGAAUGUGUACUUGUUACAAUCUGAAAAACGUAAUUCCAUUUCCCUGCCUCUGUGUUUCAAAAACAUACAAAAGUACUAUUGUAACAAACUAUAACGUCCUUUUAUAAGCAUCCAAGAGUUAGGGAUUAAUCGGAUCCUAAACCAAUCUAAUAACCACUUGAGAGUCAGAGACUAGGCAGGAACCCAAUUGCAAAUAUAUAUUUUCUUCUAUAAGAUUCCAUAAACCCCGUUGUAAUGCAGCAAGUAAAUUUCAUUCCAUGGAAAUUUGGAGCUAUCCCACAUCUAGUAGCUUCAUGAACACAAAACAUUAGACACAACACUUUGCUGCACUUUCUUCCUUGGAGCUGUUUGAGAGAACAAAGCUAGUCUUUGCUUUAUCCCUUGCGUGCAGUUCAUCAUUUUUGCUGUCGAAGACGAAUUUAGGUUCCUUUUCUGUGGUUCUUUUCACGUGUAGGUACUGUUGGAAUAGACAAACUUGUAUAUAUUUUUUUCAGACAUAAUAAGAAACCAUGAUACGUGCAUAUAUUAAAUAUCAGCAUUGGUCCUCUAUAAAGUUUUUCAUUUUAGUAACAUUUUAAUACCAUUCUUGGUCCCUGGAUGAAGUUGUUACAAAAGUACUAAUAUUCAAUACCAAACUUGGGACCUGGAUAAAUCAAGAUUCUUGAACUUGAUAGCGUAUGAAAUGUGUCCAGAGGUCCCCAAUGACUCGGUGGUCACCUCUUACAUAUGCUUCCUUGAUUCACUCAUACGUGACCGGAGGAUGUGAAAGAACUGAGGCAGCAGCUCGUACUCCGCAACUUACUGGGCAGUGAUGAAGAGGUGGCCACCCUCUUCAACAAAAUAACCAUCGACAAUUGGUCCCAGAUUCUGAUGCUUAUAACUUAUAAAGGUGUAAAAGAGGAAAUUCAAAACCACUAUAAGAACCAUUUCAGUGGCCCCUGGACCGUCCUGGCAUUCCUGGGUGCAGUCUUAGCCCUCUUCUUUAGCGGCCUUCAGACUUACUUCACCGUCUUCCCUCGUCGCAACUGAUCACCAUCAUUUGUUAAAAUUGCAGAAGCGGUACGUGAAUUAGAGACCUUUGUGUAUUGAGUUAGUGAAUUUCUGUGUGGUCUUCUUUUACUUUUGGCGCGUUUGUGUUUGAGAUAUAUCUACCUCUGUGUGUGUAAGAUUCUAUGUCCAUGAUUGCUAAAAUUCUACCCAAGUAAAUAAAGAUGGAUUGAUGCACUGCUUAACCGCCUAUAUUCCCCUGUUUUUAAAUUUUAAUCUUUCUUGUCGGAUUUAAGCCACCGUCUUCCUUUUUCUGAAUGGCCUGAGACCCGGCUUUAAGCUCGAAAAUGCUUGAAAUCAGGACUAACUAUUAAUAAAUGAGAAAAUAGAUGUUAUCAAUUUCCAUCUCUGAAAAACUAAGGCUACCAUACAGUAUUGAGCAACCAACUCUUGCACAUGAAGCUCAAAAGCAAAGAGGGGAUCUGAUUUGAAGGGGCUUUCCGCCUCAACUGCCCAUUUUUAUUUUUGAUUGCUAUAAUCUUUUUAUUUUAGAUUAAAAACCCUUAAGUUUUUGAAUCGUUCAAAGCUGAUAGGGCCAUGUAUGUAAUGUGCAUUCUUUUAUGAGUAUUUUUUAGUAAAAAUUAACAAUUUUAUUCAGUUUUUUUUUUUAAUAGUAUGAGAAAUUAACAAUUUGGAGGAAUAAAAAUUUCUUCCUUAUAUGUGAGUGAAUUAUAUUAUAUAUAUAUAUAUAUAUAUAUAUAUUUGAAUUCUUAAAUAGAAUUUUAUUAUUAAAAAUAAUUAAAAACUGCUUACACAUAAGCAUUAUAACCAAAUCCUCUUAAAACUAGAACAUUAGAAAAAAAAAUUAUUAACUCCAUUAAUUAGGUCAUAAAGAUACUAAGACUUUUGGAAUAAUGUCUCAACAAUGAGAAAUUGGACACUACAAUAACUUUUUUAUUGCUAGUCUUCUAACAGGAUUCUAAUGAAAUGCUAAUAUGUAUUAAAUAUUAUAAGCUCCAUUUAUCAGACCAUGAAGCUACUAAGGUAAGUGAAAUAAUGUGUUAUUAAUGAAAUAAGGUACUUGUGUAAUGCAGAUGAUAUUAAAUAGAAAAAUAAGCUCCAGUGUAAAGUAUUUCCAAAUGAUCUUAAACUAUUAUCUUUUCCAUUUAUUAAAACUUAACACCCUAAAAAUGGACAAAAAAAUAAAAAUAAAAAUAAAAAUCAAACCGAUAAAACUCACUCAAAAACACAGUAUUAAAGAAAAACAAUUCUUUAAAGGGCAUAUUUAAUACAUGAAAAUAAAGAGUAGGAAUGGAUAUCUUUUUUUUUUCUCCUUUAAUCCCAUAUUUAGAUAACUUAAAUGAUGAUGGAAAUGGAAUUAAAAGUGAUUAUGAUGGAAAUGAAAUUCUAGUUAUAAGUAGAAUAUCAAUUCAUCCCAAUUAUGAGAUAUUUUGAUUCAUUUGUGUAAGUUAUUUUUAAAAAUAUUUUUUUAAAAUUAUAAAAUUAAAGACUUUUUUAAAUAAGUUUUUUUUAAGAAUGAUUUUUUAUUUUGAUUUUAUAAAAAAAAUGAAUUGAAAAUUCAAUUUAUAUAAUAUAAAUUAUUAUUCAGGUGUUAUGAAAAAAAAAAUAAUUAAAAAUAAAUAGCUUUUAACAAAAUAUGAAUGUUAAAAAUGUAAUAAAAUCAUUUUUUUAUAAAUAUUUUAAAUAUAUAUAUAUAUAUAAAUAAUAAAGUCUUUUAUUUUCAACUUCAGUGUUUUUUAUUUUCAUUUAUCCAGGUACCAACUUCUAGUAUUUAAAAAAUUCAAAUAUAUAAAGACUUUAUUAUUUAGUAAAAAAAAACAAAACACCUCUCAGGAUGUUUUAAAUGAAAAUAAAAAAUCAUUUCGUACUACAAUGUGAUAUUACUUAAAAAAAAUUUAAAAUAAAAAAUUAUUUUUGAAUUUUUUAAAUUCUAAAGUUGGUACCUGGAUAAAGUUCAAAAGCCAUCAUCAAAUCUCUCUGGCUUCAUCCCGAUUCAACAUAGUUUCUCUGCACCCUUCUCAUCAAACUGGCUUUGAACAGUAUGCCUGGGAAUCCCACGGCGUAGGUGCAUGCAUCAAUGGAGAUCGUAAGAAAAGAAACCGGUCAGGCAAGAGAGGGCAGUGAUCACCAAUUUGCCAUUGCCAGCAAGCAGCGUGAGAAGACGAGGAUUGAUAUUGUAGUAGAAGAUAACGCUAGCAGCAGCAGGGAGAAGAGGUUUAAAUCUGUGAUGGGAGGUCCAGAAGACAGCGAAAGCAGUCAAUUAUCUGAGACUAAAUUGCCACGGAUACCCAAGGUUCCACAGAUGCUGCUAAAUACCAAGGAUUUCAAGAAACAGUUCGAACCUAGAGUGGUUUCAGUGGGCCCUUAUCACCAUCACAAGCAGGAGCUCAAAGCAGCAGAAAUGCUGAAGCGCCAAAUGACCAAACAGUUCAUCCGAGACUGCAGCCAGGGAAUUGAAGUUUUGUACAACAAGAUUGUAAGCGAAAUCUCAGAAUUGAAAAAUUGCUACAAUAAGAAUGCGACAAAAAAAUAUAAUGAUGAAGACCUGGCCUGGAUGAUGCUGGUGGAUGGGUGUUCCUUGCUACAUUACAUUCACUGCUACACCACAGAGGGUAAGUCGAAGGACUUGCCUUUUAAGCAUCAAAUUGCAGCCUUUGUGCAACAGGACUUGUUGUUGCUGGAGAAUCAACUUCCGUUUCGGGUUCUGGAGUUGUUGCUGGAAUCAAGAUUCAAAGGGAAUGAAGGGAUGGAAAUGAUCGAAAAGUUCAUCCAUUUCACAAUUAAAGGUUGGAUGCCAUCAAAAGUAACAUGUGACCCCAACGAAGAAAAGCCCUCUCAUCUUCUCGACCUCCUGAGAAGAAGAUUCCUAGGCGAUCAAAAAUCUUGCAAAACAGAGUCUGGUAAAGGUGAAGGUUGGAACUCGUAUCGGAAUGUGAAUGAACUGAAAGCAGCUGGAAUCCGCUUUAGGCCUGCCAAGUCGGGUUCCUUGAGAGACAUUUCUUUCAAGUCCUACUUCUUCUGUGGAUUCCUGAAUCUUCCUGAAAUCACCAUUGACGACUCGACUAAAGCAAGAUUCUUGAACUUGAUAGCGUAUGAAUUGUGUCCAGAGGUCCCCAAUGACUCGGAGGUCACCUCUUACAUAUGUUUCCUUGAUUCACUCAUAGAUGAACCGAGCGACGUGAAAGAGCUGAGGCGGCAGCACGUACUUCGCAACUUUCUGGGCAGUGAUGAAGAGGUGGCCACACUUUUCAAUGAAAUAACAACUGACUUGGUACCAGAUUCUGAAGCUUAUAAAGAUGUAAAAGCGAAAAUUCAAAAGCACUACAAGAACGAAGUGAGCACUUGGAUGACGGAAGGACUUCACAGCCAUUUCAGUAGCCCCUGGACUAUCCUGGCAUUCCUGGGUGCGGUCUUAGCCCUCUUCUUUGGCGGCCUUCAGACUUACUACACCGUCUUCCCUCGUGGCAACUGAUGAGUUAAAAUUGCAGAAAAGGUACGUGCAGUAGAGACCUUUGGGUGAUAUUAGUGUGUUGUCGCUGUUGUUGUUUUUUUUAUUUUUUAUUUUCUCAAAGUUCGGUGCGUUUGCGUUUGAGAUACACCUACCUCUACCUCUGUGUGUGUAAGAUUCUGUGUCCAUGAUUGCUAAAUUUGUACGUUAAGUAAAUAAAGAUGGAUUGAUGCAAUACUUAACCGCCUUUAUAGUUUAUUCCCUUGUUUUUAUAAUUUAAUCCUUCUUGUCGGUUUUAAGUUCUACGCCACCGUUUUCCUUAUGCUGAACGGACUGAAGUCCAGGGCCAAUUUGUGCAUGGCUUUAAGAUGGAAAAUGCUUGAAAUCAGGACUUAUUAAUAAAUGUUAUCAAUUUCCAUCUGAAAAACUAAAGUUACGUACGUACCAUGCGAUAUUAUGCUCCCAACUAUUGCACAUGAAGCUCAAAAGCAAAGAGGGGGUCUGAUUAUGGUAUUAGAUUUCAAGGGGCUCAAACCAAGUUGGACCAAAUCCUGGGCUCUCUGCCUCAACUGCCCAUUUUGAUUUUUUUACUAUUGUAAUCCUUUUAUUUUUUAGAUUAAAAAACCUCAAGUUUUUUAAUUGUUGAAGGCUGAUAGGCCAUGCAAUUUGCCAUCUUUUACGAGUAUUUUUUAAAACUGAAAUUCAAAAUACACUAGUCAACCACGUGAAUCUACCAAUGGGAGGCUUCUUAUAUAGCCAAGCCACUUGCAGCCAUCUUGGUUAAGGGGGCGGGAUAUAUCAACCACUUUUCUUGGAUAGUCAAAUUUUGUCACUAAAAGUAUACAUCCAAAGUCUUAUUUUAGAAGUUUCACAUAUUUUUUAAUGACUCUUUUCUUAACCUUUCCCUUCGAGGAAGAAAAGGAAAACAAAAACAACUAUUAUUUAAAUUUUUUUUUUUUUUAUAUUUUAGAAAGAAAAAAAAAACAAGUUUUUAGAUUAAAAAACAUAGGUUUUGUUUGGAAAAUGCUUUCAAAAAUAGUUUUUGAAAACAAUUGUAUAAUAUUUUAUAAAAUAAAAUUUUGUUUUAAAGUCUAAAAUAUUCUUAAUCUAUUUUUUAUAUUUUUACAUAUGUUUUAAAAAUAACUUUUAUAUAUGUUGUUUUAUUUUUAAUUAUUCUUCAUAUUUAUAUAAUUAUUUUUUAAAACAAUUCUCUGAAAAAAAUGAAUUUAAUUAAAAUAUAUUAUUUAAAAACACUAUAUUUUUUACUUUUAAAAACAAAAAUUUGUUUUUGUUUUUCAUUUUAUGGUUGUUGAAUAUUUUUUGACUUUUUGUUUCUAAAGAACCAACAAUUGUUUUAAAACAUAGUUACUAAAAAGGGCCUAAAUGUUUUAAAGAACAAAAACAUUUUUUAAUUAAAAAACCAACUAACAAAAUUUUUGAGAAUUUAUUUUAAAAACAUGGUAUUGUUAAAUCUGUAGUAUUUUUUUAAGUAGUCUAAGAAAUGAACAAAUAUUGAAGAAUAAUUUUUUUAUAUUAUUAUAUAUAAGUGUAUUCUAUUUUUUUAUACUUGAAUUCUUAAACAAAAUUGUAUUAUUAAAAAUAAUUAAAAGCUAUUUACACAUAGAAAUAUGAUAAAUCAAAUCCUCUAAAAAGUAGAACAUUAAACAAAAAUUAGUAGCACCAUUAAUCGGGUCAUAAAGAUACUAAUGUCUCACGAUGAAAUGUUGGAUACCACAAUAAUAACUUAUAUGGCUAGUCUGCUAGGAGGAUUCUAAUGAAAAGCUAAUAUAUUAUAAAUAUUAUAAGCUUCAUUUAUCAUGCCAUAAAGAUACUAAUGAUAAGUGAAGUAAUGUGUUACGGUGGACCUCGUAUUUCGCUCUAUGCGUUCCCACUCGAUGACGAAAUUCGCUUUUUUAUUUGUUUGGUGAAAAUUUGAUUUUUAGAAAAAUACUUGGAGUCGCUACUUGUUUUUGUUGGAAAAAACAAAAUAAGAAAGAAAAACCCUAAGUGUGACUCUUGAAGGAAAAAAAUAAGUUUAUGAAAAACCGAGUCUGGGUCCGGAGGUCAAAUUACUUAUUAGGAAGGUACGGUGGUCAGCUGUAACACCUCUUUAAGCCCCUAAGAAUGGGUCUCUACUAAAUAAAAUGAAGCAAGCAUGACAAUUAACUAAAAAAUCAAUAGAUACCAAUGAAAUAAUCAAAUAAUAAAAUGAAUCAUGCAUGAGAAUAAGCAAAAUGGGAAUGAGAUUGUACCUUAGUAGCAAAUAAUAGUGCGCUAUAAUGGAAAUAAGGUUAAAUCAAGUAUAAAAUUAUCGCAUGCAUAUUAAAGAAUAAGACAAAGAUCAAGUAAUAUUAAUUAAGCAUGAUAGUUGACAAUCACAAGAGAAAACUCAUAUGUAGGACUCCCACCAAAGUCCAAUUGAUUUUGCAUGAAUUAAUCUUACAAAUUACAUUGCUUUAGAUUUAUGAAAAUCAUAUUCAUGUUUAUUUAAAAUCAAGGAGAAACAAAAUAAUUAUUUUAAAAUAAAUUUUUUUUUUAUAAAAGUCUUUAUCUGAAAGAAAAUGUAGCAAGUUUAUUUAAAAAUAGGAUUUUUAGCGACUUAAAACCCUAAUGAAUAAUAAAAAGUGGUAGAUUCAUUACUAGUUCAUGGUUCAUUGGUUAAAUCAACGAUUGAACCACAAUAGAACCUAUGACAUCAUAAAUAUAUAUUUUAUAUAUUAUUAAAAUUAAAAAUAAAAAUAAUAAAUUAUGAGGAAUGUAAUAUUUUCAUAAAUUUAUUUUAAAUCAUAAUGUUCUCAUUAAUUUAAGUUAAGUUCCUUAUAUUUUUAUUUUAUACUUCAUAUUUAUCAAUAUAUAAAAUACUAAGAUUGAAAUAUUCAUAUAUUAUUAAAUCACUAAUUCACCAUUUUUUUUAAUUUAACUAUGAUACAAAAAAAUAACUUUUCUACGGUACAUAUCUCCUUUUCAACCAAUGACAAAUUUUUAUUUAUAUAAUUGGUAUUUUCAACCAAUAACAAACUUCUAUAUAUAUAAUUAAUAAUUUAAUGUUUUCUUUUUUAAAGAUAAUCAGAUAGUAUUGUAGCCUAGAAUUUGAUUUAAAAUUCACAAAAUUAUAACCACAAAUUUAAUUAUAAACUUUAACAUUUCCAUAUUAAAACUUAAAAGUUUUAAAAUUCUAUUGAAUUUUGGUAAGUGUUAAAGCUUAUAGUUGUCGGGAUGACAUUGUCAUCAGGAUGGUGGCAUCAUCAGAAUUGCCUCAUUGUCUACCAGCUAUGACGCAUUAGGGUGGAGCAAGAGGUGCCGACAGCGGCGUAGAAAGGAGAAGUUGUAGUUUGUUGGGAUGACAUCGUUGUUAGGAUGGUAUCGUUGUCGACUAGUAGCAAUGCGUUGGGUUAGAGUUGGAAGUCCGACAAUGACGUAGAAAAAAAAAGAGCCAAAGUUGGGGGUGCAACGAACGUUAGGGUAGAAGGCAAGUGAUGGGUUUGAGAAGCAAAAUGAUGUCAUUUCAAAAUGAAGAAAAAAAAAAGGUAUUUCAAAUAGUUCAAUUUUUUCCCAAAAUCAAUCAUAUCAACCGGUUUAUCAGUCUAACCAUCAGUUUCGAUGGUUCAAUAUUGGUUCAGAGGUCGAUCAGUUCAAAGGUGUAAAUCGGAUUAGAAUAGUGAUCGAUAACAGUCUAAUCCAAUUUUUUAAACAUAGUUUUACCUCAUCAAUUUGAAUAUAUAUAAACUUUAUAUUUUAUAAAUUAGUUUUAUCAUCGUCAAUUUAAAAAUAUUUUAAAAUACAUACACUUUUUCAUAACUCACAUAAUUUAUUUUCUAAAAUACCCUCAAGUUUUGCAUUCAAAUUUCUUACCUGAAGUCGCAUUUGAAUGUUACUUUUUACGAUUCCAUUUUCCUGCCUCCGUAUUUCAAAAACAUAUAAAAGUAUUAUGGUAACAAACUAUAACGUCUUUCUUUAAUAAACAGUAAACACCCAAGAGUUAAACAGGAACCCAAUUGCAAAUAUAUCCUUCCUUCUAUAAGAUUCCAUAAACCCCGCUGUAAACCAGCAAGUAAAUUUGGAGCUAGCCCAUAUCUAGUAGCUUGAUGAACACAAAAUAUAUAAAAAAAAAUCUGGGAAGAUGGCAGAGACAACUCUUUGCUGCGCUUUCUUCCUCGGAAAGAUUUGAGAGAACAAAGCUUAGUCUUUGCUUUAUCCCUUGCGUGCAGUUCAUCAUUCUUGCUAUUAAAGACAAAAUUAGGUUCCUUUUCUCUAGUUAGAUCUUUUCACAUGUAGGUACUGUUGGAAUAGACAAACUUGUGUAUAUUUUGUCAGACAUAAUGAGAAUCCAUGAUAUGUGCAUAUAUUAAUUAUCAACAUUGGUCCUCUAUGAAGUUUUUCAUUUUAGUACUAUAGUUAAUACCAUUCUUGGUCCCUGGAUAAAGUAGUUACAAAGUACUAAUAUUCAAUACCAAAGUCGGUACCUGGAUAAAGUUCAAAAGACAUCAUCAAAUCUCUCUGGCUUCAUCCCGAUUUAAGAUAGUUUCUAUGCACCGUUCUCAUCAAACUGGCUUUGAACAGUAUGCCUGGGAGUCGGGAGGACUUUCCCACUGAGGAGGUGCAUGCAUCAAUGAAGAUUGUAAGAAAUGAAACCGGUCAGACAAGAGAGGGCAGUGAUCACCAAUCUGCCAUUGCCAGCAAGCAGCAUGAGAAAACGAGAAUUGAUAUUGUAGUUGAAGACAACGCUAGCAGCAGCAGGGAGAAGAGGUUUAAAUCUGUAAUGGGUGGCCCAGAAGACAGCAAAAGGAGUCAAUUAUCUGAGACUAAAUGGGCACGGAUUCCCAAGGUUCCACAUAUGCUGCGAGGUACCAAGGAUUUCAAGAUACUGUUCGAACCCAGAGUGGUUUCAGUGGGUCCUUAUCACCAUCACAAGCACGAUCUCAGAGCAGCAGAAAUGCUGAAGCGCCUAAUGACCAAACGGUUCAUCCUAGAGAGUCGCCAGGCAAUUGAAGUUUUGUACAACAAGAUUGUAAGCGAAAUCUCAGAAUUGAGAAAUUGCUACAAUAAGAAUGCGACAAAAAAAUAUAAUGAUGAAGACCUGGCCUGGAUGAUGCUGGUGGAUGGGUGUUCCUUGCUACAUUUCAUUCGCUGCUACACCACAGAGGGUAAGUUGAAGGACUUGCCUAUUAAGUAUCACAAUGCAGCCUUUGCGCAACAGGACUUGUUCUUGCUGGAGAAUCAACUUCCGUUUCGGGUUCUGGAGUUGUUGCUGGAACCAGGAUUCGAAGAAGGGAUGCAAAUGAUUGAACAGUUCAUCGGAUCGGCUGCUGAAACUGACCCACCGGCUGUAAAAUCUGACAAUGAAGAAAAGCCCGCUCAUCUCCUCGACCUCCUGAGAAGAAGACUCCUAGGCAAUCAAACAGCUAGCGAAACAGAGGCUGGCAAAGGUACAGGUUGGAACUCAUUUCGGAAUGUGAAUGAGCUGAAAGCAGCUGGGAUCCGCUUUAAGCCUGCCAAGUCGGGUUCCUUGAGAGACAUUUCCUUCAACUCCUACAUCCUCUUAGGAUUUCUGAAACUUCCUCGAAUCACCAUUGACGACUCGACUAAAUCAAGAUUCUUGAACUUGAUAGCUUAUGAAAUGUGUCCAGAGGUCCCCAAUGAGCCGGUGGUCACCUCUUACAUAUGCUUCCUUGAUUCACUCAUAGAUGACCCGGAGGACGUGAAAGAGCUGAGGCGGCAGCACGUACUUCGCAACUUUCUGGGUAGUGAUAAAGAGGUGGCCAGACUUUUCAAUGAAAUAGCUACUGACUUGGUACCAGAUUCUGAUGCUUAUAAAGAUGUAAAAGGGAAAAUUCAGAAGCACUACGAGAUAAAAGCGAGCACUUGGAUUGCUGAAGGGCUUCACAGCCAUUUCAGUAGCCCCUGGACUGUCCUGGCAUUCCUGGGCGCGGUCGUAGCCCUCUUCUUUGGCGGCCUUCAGACUUACUACACCGUCUUCCCUCGUCACAACUGAUCACCAUCAUGUGAUAAAGUUGCAGAAGAAGGUGCGUGAAUUAGAGACCUUCGUGUGAUAUUAGUGUGUGGUUUUUUUUUUUUUGACGUUUGGUGCUUUUGUGUUUGAGAUAUACCUACCUCUACCUGUGUGUAAGAUUUUGUGUCCAUGAUUGCUAAAUUUGUUCGUUAAGUAAAUAAAGACGGAUUGAUGCAAUACUUAACCGCCUUUAUAGUUUAUUCCCCUGUUCUUAUAAUUUAAUCCUUCUUGUCGGUUUUAAGUUUUAAGCCACCGUUUUCCUUGUGCUGAAUGGACUGAGAUCCGGGGCCUAUUUGUGCAUGGCUUAAAGAUCGAAAUUGCUUGAAAUCAGGACUCAUUAAUAAAUGUUAUCAAUUUCCAUCUCUGAAAAACUAAAGCUACCAUGCGCUAUUAUGCUCCCAACUCUUGCACAUGAAGCUCCAAAACAAAGAGGGGGUCUGAUAAUGGUAUUAGAUUUGGAGGGGCUCAGAGCAAGUUGGACCAAAUUCUGGGGCUUUCCGCCUCAAUUGCCCGUUUUGAUUUUUGACUAUUAUAAUCCUUUUAUUUUUUAGAUUAAAAAGGCUCAAGUUUUUUAAUUGUUGAAGGCUGAUAGGCCAUGUGAUUUGCCUUCUUUUACGAGUACUUUUGAAUACUGAAAUUCAAAAUACACUAGUCAACCACACGAAUCUAGCAAUAGAAGGCUUCUUACAUAGCCAAGCCACUUGCAGCCAUCAUGGUUAAGGGGGCUGGAUAUAUCAACCAUUUUGCUUAGAUAGUCAAAGGUUGUCACUCAAAUUAUACAUCCAAUGUCUUAUUUCAGAGGUUUCACAUAUUUUUUAAUGACGCUUUUUUAACCUUUCCCUUUGAGGAAGUAAAGGAAAACAAAAACAUGUUUAGAAACCAUUAUUGAAAAUAAUUUUUUUUAUAUAUUUUAGAAAAAAAAUCAAGUUUUUUAAUCCAAAAAACAUAGGUUCAGUUUGGAAAAUGCUUUCAAAAAUAUUUUUAAAAAACAGUUUUUGAAAACAAGUGUAUGAUCACCAAACUGCCAUUGUCAGCAAGCAAGCAGUGAGAAGAUGAGAUUUGAGAGUAUAGUAAAAGAUAACGCCAGCAGCAGCAUGGAGGAGAGGUUUAAAUCUGUAAUGGGUCCAGAAGACAGAAAAACGAGUCAAUUGGGCGAGACUAAAUGGCCAAUGAUACCCAAGGUUCCACAGUUGCUGCGAGGUACGAAGGAUUUCACGGAACAGUUUGAACCUUAUCACUAUCACAAACCCGAGCUCAAACCAGCAGAAAUGAUGAAGCGCCAAAUGACCAAACGGUUUAUCCUAGACAGUGGCCAGUGCAUUGAAGUUUUGUACAACAAGAUUGUAAGCGAAAUCUCAGAACUGAGGAGUUGCUAUACAAUAAGAAUGCGAUUAAAAAAAUAUAUAUAUAAUAAGGAAGAGCUGGCCUGGAUCAUACUAGUGGAUGGGUGUUCCUUGCUACAUUUCAUUCACUGCUACACCACAGAUGGUUAGUGGAAGGACUAGAAUUUUGAGUAUCAAAAUGCAGACUUUUUACAACAGGACUUGUUCUUGAUGGAGAAUCAACUUGCCUUCGGGGUUCUGGAGUUGUUGCUGGAAUCAAGAUUCAAAGAGGAUUAAAGGAUGCAAAAGAUUGAAAGGUUCAUUGUUUGACAAUUAAUGGGUGGGAGGCAGAGCCAUCAGAAGUAACAUAUAGCCCCAAGGAAGAAAAGGGCCCUCAUCUCCUCGACCUCCUGAGAAGAAGACUCCAAGGCAUUGCUAGAGUUCCCAAAAGAGUAGCGCGUAAAGGCUGGAACUCAUAUCGAAUUGUGAAUGAGCUGAAAGCAGCUGGGAUCAGCAUUAAGCCUAACAAGUCGGGUUCCUUGAGAGACAUUUCCCUCAAAUCCUACCGCUUCUAUGGAGUCCUGAAACUUCCUCAAAUCACCAUUGACGACUCAACUACAUCAAGCUUCUUGAACUUGAUCGCAUAUGAAAUGUGUUCAGAGGUCCCCUCGGAGGUCACCUCUUACAUAUGCUUCCUCCAUUUACUCGUAGAUGAACUGGGGGACGUGAAAGAGCUGAGGCAGCAGGGCGUACUCCGCAACUUCCUGGGCAGUGAUGAAGAAGUAGCUACACAAUUCAAUGAGAUUACUGCCGACUUGGUACGUACCAAAUUCUGAUGCUUAUAACGAUCUAAAAGAGGGUGUAUAGCGAUCACUUUGAUGACUCGAUGGCCUAUCAUAGCAUUCCUGUGCAGUCUUAGCCCUCUUCUUUUGCGGCCUUCAGACUUACUUCACCGUCUUCCCUCGUCGCAACUGAUCACCAUCAUGUGCUAAAAUUGCAGAAACCGUACGUGAUUUUGUACGGUUUGCUGUCACCAUGGUGUUUGCUGUCAAUAUCAAAUACCAAGUGUCCCUUUUUUUCCUUUAAUUUUGGAGUCAAAUUUCCCUUUAUGAAUUUGAUUAAUUUUGAAAUUUUACAAGGUUGUCAAGUACUAUCUUUCCCUUAUUUUCUCAAUUCCCUCACAUUCCCUUCUUUACUUCAACUCCUAAGCAAAACCCUCUUUCUUUGUCCAUUAAGAGAUAAUCCCAUUUUUAUUUCCUAGAACCCACCAAACCCUCCCACACCUUUUAUCAGCUCCCUCACUUGUCCAUUCUCGAAAGCAUAAUUUAUUUUCUCCUUUUUUUUCAGAAUUAAUUCCUGAAUUAUCUCAGCCCUUCUAACUCACAAUCCCUCACCAAAAUUUCUUAGUUGUGAUGCCCAAAUAUUUCACGUUUUAUUUUCUGCUUUUCCAAUUAAAGCUGCUAACUCCCCUUCAUGGGCAUGCUCACUAGUCACUAGUCAGCACUUGGCAAGUUCUGGCGCCCAACAAAACUCAGGUAAUAUUUUUUAUACUUUCAAACUACUGGAAUAUCUACCAAAAUUAAUAUCGUAUUCUUGGGCUAUGUUUAAUUGUACAAAAGUAUGAGGAAAAAAAGGAUUAAAAAUGAUUUUCUCAUAUACUAUAGAAAAUAAAUAAAUAAAUUCAUAUAAUUAAAAUUAAUUAAAAACUUAUGUAUUUUUAAAUUAUUUAAUAUAAUCAAAAUAAGUUAAAUAAAUUUAAAGUAUCAUACAAAAACAAUUUAUAGACUUUAAAUCCUUUUUUUAUUUUCAUUUGCUUUCUUCUUUCUUCUAUUUUUUUUUUCUUUUUUCUUCUAUUUUUUUCUUUUUAUUUUCAUUCCAUAGUUUUUUUUUUCUAGAGUCAAACAAAACCUAAGGAUGCAGGUCAAAAAGAUAGAAAAUUAGCGUCUUAACUUCAAAAAAAAAAAAAAAAAUUAUUACUUGUUCAAGUUUUUAUCAUAUAUAUUAUAUAUAUGGAAAUCAAUACCAAUCUUGGUUACUAGUUAUUAAUCUCAUUAACCACCAAUUUUGGUUUUCUUUUUUCUUCACAAAUAUGAUAAUUUAAAUAAGUCAUUUUUGUAAAAGCAUUUUUAAAACUACCAUAAUUUAUAUCAAGUGAAAUCUAUACGAAACUUGUCAUCUAAAAAUUAGUAUAUCAAUAUACAACUUGUGUGAAAGACGAGUUCUAUAUAAAAUAAAUAAAUGUAUAUUUUAUAUUAUCUUCUAAAAAAUGAACCUUAUUAUCCAUAAUAAAUUUGUUUUUUUGAAAAGAUAAGUUAUUUGUUAAAAAAAAUAUCACAAUAUCAAACUAGUCUUUUUAAAAAAUUAGUUCAAUAUAAAAAGUAAUUUAAUUUUUUUUUAUAUGAAACUCUUCUUUUAAAUUUAAAAACAAGUUUCAUGCGGUAAUCUUAACCAAAGAGAAAAAAACCCAAUUUCCAAAUAUUCAAGAUUCAUUCGGGUUUGCAAGGUAUUUUAAGGGAAUUAUGAGGAGUUUAAGGCUUAAAUAGUGCUUUCAAAGAAGAAAAGAAUAAUCAAAAUAGAUUCUCUCCCAAAAUAUUUAUCAAUCUAGCCUUUGUCAUCACAUGCUCAUUCAAGUGACAUUUUUUUUUAUGUAAAAAACCAUAAUUACCAAUUGUAGUUUUAAAAUAAAAUAAUAAUAAUAAUAAAAUUGAAUUUGAUAUUAUACAUAGACACUACUUUGACAAAUAUUUUUAACACAAGUUUAGAUUGAGAAUUUUUUUUUAUAAAAAAAACAGGUUAUUUUGACCGGAAACUCAAUUAUGGGUGUGUUGAUUGCAUGGGCCAAGUAGAUUCAUAAUAUGACAAGUUGAAUUUUAUGAGUUUUGUUUCCCUACUUCAAUUUUGAUCUGGAGUAUUUUUUUCCUCCAUUUUUUCUUUUUCUUUUUUCUUAUUAUUAUUAUUAUCAUCAAUAGCCUAUCAAAUCAUAAUAAUAUUAAGACUCAUCAAUAUAAAUAACAUAAUAAUCAAUUAUAAAUUAUUUUUGAUAAUUAAAAAAUAAUUUUAUUAUAAAGAUUUCAUAAAAAAAUAUUACAACAAUUUUUUUUAAUUGUUUAACUUUAGAAUAUAACUAUUAAGUAAUUAUUAUAAUAAAAAAUUAUUUUUAUAAUUAUUAAAAAACGAAAUAAAGGCAUGUCGUAUUGUAUUGUAUUUUUAAUAUACUUAUAUUAUAAGUUCAAUAUAUAAUUAUAUAUAAGUGUUGCAAUUACAAUUCAUUGUCUUUUUCUUUUCUAAUUAUUAUUAUUAUUAUUAUUAUUAUUAUUAUUACUAUCAUAUCAUCAAUAACCUAUCAAAUAAGAAUAAUAUUAAUAAUAAUACAUAUAAAUAACAUAAUAAUUAAGUAUUAUUUCAAAAAUAUUAUCAAUAACUUAUCCAAAAUAAUAAUAAUAAUAUAUAAUAUAAUAAUUUUACAAAUUAUUAUUUCAUUCCAAUAAUUUCAAAUAUAAAAUUAUUAUAUUAUUUAUUAUAUAGAUUUCAUAAAUUUUGGAAUGUUUGAUUUUGUAAUAUAACUACUAAGAAUAUAUUACAAUAAAAAUAUUUGUUUUCAUACUUUUAUUGAAUACAUUUCAUAAAUUCAUUACUAGUUCUACAAAUAUAAUUAUUAAAAAAUAUUAUAAUUAAAAAUUAUUUUUAUAACUAUUAAAAAACGAUAUAUAUAUAUAUAUAUAUAUAUAUAUAUAUAUAUAUAUAUUGUACCUACAUUUUGUAAUAAAUUAAGGCAUGCUGUAAUGUCUUGUACUUUUAGUGUAUUUAUAUGUAAAUUCAAUACAUAAAUGUUAAUGAGGUGUUAAUAAUAAUAAUAAUAAUAAUAAUUUAAUUAAUAUUAAUGUAGCAUAUAAAGCAUAAAAAGCAAAAAAGAAAAAAGAAUAAUUUUUUAAUAAAGUUUAAAAGUCUUGAGAAUUAAAAAAUAGAAAUUGUCUUUUAGGAUUUCUUUCUAAUAGUAAUAAUAAAAAUAUAAUAGUGAUUUUAAUAUAAUAUUAAAAAUAUGAGCAAUAAGUUGAUUAAUAAUCAUAGAAAUAAUAAAUAAUGUUAAUAAGAAUAAUAUUAAUAAUAAUGUGAAUAAUUUAAAAAUACUAACUCAUAAAUGAUAAUAUUAAGAGUAAUAUUACUAAAAAAUCAAUUUUCCUUUAUAUUAACCUUAUAUUUUGAAAUGAUAAGUUUAUUAAGUUUUAUGGCAAGAGUGAACCAAUUUCUUAAAAGAUGUGUUUUAAGUAAAUUUUAUAUAUAAAACUCAUCUUUCUUAAAAUAAGAUUUUUCAUAUUAUAGUUUUUGUUGUAGAAUUCUUAAUAUUGUAAAAAUCACUAUACUUUAAUAAUAAUAUUUAGAGAAAAAAAAAUCCCUCUUGGAAAAACAAUAUAUAAAAAAGCUCAAUUUACACAAUAAUUGAAAUUCACCAUUCAUACAGUUUUGUGAAGAUAUUUUGAGACAAUAAUUAGUGCAUUAAUUACAUUGCCUAAGGAAAUUUCAAAGUGGGCACAGGUCCAAUUCUAUAUAUCCCGUGUCUCUAUCUAAAUUUGAAAUGAAGUAUCAUCACACUUAAAAGAUAUUAUUUGUGGAAAAAGAAAUAAUUUGAUGAUAGAUAAUGAUGAUGAUGAUUAAUGAUUUGUCUGAUGAAUUUUGAAUUUUGGGACUUUUGCACAAUAAUUUAAAAAAUAAAAAUAAAUAAAUAAAUAAAACCAAUCUCCUAAAAAUAUUUCUAAAACUAUGGUAGUCAUAGAUAUAAUAUGCAUUUUUUCAUGGUUAAGUAUGAUAGUUAACCACAUGAACCACGCAACAUACAAGACUUCUUGUAGCUAAGUGAUUGACACCAUGUGGUUGAUUGCACAAAACUUUGUAGCCAUGGUGGUUAAGGGCAUUAUUUCAUUCAUUUGACUUUUAAGAUGAUUAAUUCACCCAUAGAUAGCGUCUUAUAUAUUGGCUAGGAUCAAAGAGACAAACAACUUAUAUCAAUGCAUUUCCUUAAAUGAUUAAAUGUUGUCACUAAAGUUCUACAUCCCUUUGCAUGAAACUUGACAUCAAUUGCACUUUACUUGGUUAUUGAUAAUUAAUCUAUGAAAGUUUAAAUUUAUUUACUAAAUACUAAAUUUAUAGUUAAUUCCUUUUGAAUAUAAUUUUAAAAUUUGAUUUAAUAUUAGUAAUAUUAAAAUUGAAUAUUUAUAUAGUGUUAUGUUUAUUUAUUAAAUAUUAAAAUUUAUAAAUUUAAUAAUAGUUAUAUUAAAACAUUAUUAUAAUAAAAACUAGUUAUAUUCCAUUUUAAACAAUUCAUUUAAAACUCUCGACUUCCGAAUUAAAUUUCUAUUUCUGAAAAUUCCAAUAUUCACAUCAAUUUAUUACUAUUAUUUUAUUUAUUUAUUCUAAAAGACAAUUCAUUAAAAUUUCUACUUUCGAUUUUAAUUUCUAAUUCCAAAAAUUCCAAUAUUCACAUUAAUCUAUUUAAUUAUUUUAUUUUAUUUAUUUAUUCUAAAAUUCCAUUUUAAACAGUUCAUUUAAAACUUUCGACUUUCGAAUUAAAUUUCUAUUUCUGAAAAUUCCAAUAUUCACAUUAAUUUAUUUAAUUAUUAUUAUUUUAUUUAUUUAUUCUAAAAUUCCAUUUUUAAACAAUUUAUUAAAAUUUCCACUUCCGCUAAUUCCAAGAUUCCAACAUUCACAUUAAUCUAUUUAAUUAUUAUUAUUUUAUUUAUUUAUUCUAAAAUUUCAUUUUAAACAAUUCAUUAAAAUUUUCGACUGCCGAUUUAAUUUCUAAUUCCAAAAUUCCAACAUUCACAUUAAUCUAUUUAAUUAUUAUUAUUAUUAUUUUUAUUCUAAAAUUUCAUUUUAAACAAUUCAUUAAAAUUUCCGACUCCCGAUUUAAUUUCUAAUUCCAAAAUUCCAAAAUUCACAUUAAUCUAUUUAAUUAUUAUUAUUUUAGUUAUUUAUUUUGAAAUUCCAUUUUAAACAAUUCUUCCAAAUUCCAAUUUCUGAACUUAAUUUUCCAUUUCCAAAAGUCUAAUUUCUUUCAAAUUUAAUAUCCAAAAUUCCAAUUCUUAAAUUUAAUUUUCAAGACUCCAAUCUUCAAAUAAUUUUCGAGACUCUAAUUUCCAAAUAAAUCUCCAAAAAUCCAGUUUUCUCUCGAAUAGCUUUAGUUCCACUCCGAUUUUUAAAUAAUGUUCUAUUUCUUUUUAUUUUUACAUAGGCAAUAAUGAAUUCUUCAUAAUUCUAAAACACAGAAUUUGUGGGACUAGUUCGUGAAUAAUAAAUUGGGCUUUGGUGGGGGGCCUUAUGUUUGAUCCCUAUUGAUUGUCAACUGUUGUGCUUAAUAUAUUUUGUUUGAUCUUCAUUUUGCACUCCGAUAUGCAUGAGCUAUAAUUUGUAUUCGUUAAUUGUAUACUAAUCUCAUUUCUUGAUAACGUAUUGUGACUCAUGGCCCAGGUACGCAUACACUCUCAUUCUGAUACUUCACUAUACAUGUUCCGAUUCUCAUACGUGCAUGAUCAUUCAGGAUAUUCAUUGAUUUACUCAUCAAUUGCCACAUCAACUUCAUUUCAUUAGUAGAGACCCGAUUUCAGGGGCUUAGAGGGGUGCUACGGUUUUUACCAUACCUUCCUGAUAAGUAACCUGAUCCCCGAACCUGAUCCGGUUUUUCGUAGAUCACCUUUUCCAAAAUAAGGAGUCACACUUAGGGUUUUUCUUUCUUAUUUUGUUUACCCUUUUAAAAAUAAAACAAAAAUAAGUGGCGACUCCAAGUCAUUUUUCUUAAUAAAAUAAAAAUCAAAUUUUCAAAUUAAAAUCGAGUUCGCCAUCGAGUGGGAAAUGCAUUGAGCCGAAAUGCGGGGCCCACAGGGAGGUAUUUGAUAAAAUUUCAAACUUAUAAAGAAUAUAUGUAUUUAGUUAAAACCUCAAAAAAAAUAUUAAUGAAAUUAACACUUUAAGAAAAAUGUAAUUUCUUUACUUUAGGGAUAAGAUUUGUUUUGGCUUGAUACAAGGGUGACACUGUGUGGGAGAGCUCAUGUGUGUUCAACUCUUUGUAUCCGAAAUAAAUGAGAAUUUGUUUGUAAUUAACUUAUAUUUUUUGUGUACUUAUGAAAUGCAAGUACUGAAAAAAUAAAAAUAAAAUACAAAAUAAAAAAUGAAAAAUGAAAAGAAUGUUCAUUUGAGUUAAAGAGGCUUUGGGUAUCUCAUUGCCAAUUCCAAGUUUGCAUAAACACUUCAAGAAUGGAGGGCCCAUGAACGAAUCCAUCUUCCCUUAAAAGGGGAUUCAAUGCAAGACGUUGUGAUGGGGACAUACAACUUUGAUUCCAGGAAAGAAGAAAGAACACCAAGGUGACCAAGCCAUGGCUUUAUUGCACUUCUUCUUUAUUUAAUGUAUGGGUUUGAGGGAACAUAGAUUAAGACACUGCUUUGUUUGAUAAUUCAAUGCAAAUCAGUUUCUACAGAUAUUGGUUAUAUCAAUUUCUUCUACAAUCUUCUUGUGUGAAGUCCUAUGCAUUUGAAUGAUAAAUAACUUUUCAUUUGAUACAAUUUGAUCAUUUAUUUAUCAUACAUAGCCACCUUUUAUCUGUUUAUCACAUGAAUAAUAAAUAAAAAAUAAGGUCACAACUCACAAGUGAACACCAUUUAAUGAUUAGGCUUAAAUAAUCAUUUUUAAUACUUAAUUGAGAUUUUGGUUAAAGUUUUUUAAUUAGAGCUCAAUUUGGUUGAGCUCGGAUAAUUUUUAGUUUUAUAAUCUUUCAUCAUUAUAUAGAAAUAUUCCAAACUAAUUAUCUACUUAUUAAAAAUAUAUGUUUUUAUAAAAACAUAUUUCCUUUAUUUUAAUAAUAGAAAAUCCUUUAAAGAGAGAGAGAGAGAGAGAGAGAGAAGUAUAUUUUGAUGCAAAAAUAUAAAAAGGCUUACAAUUUGAGUGGAAAGAGAAUUAAGAAAUUUAUUAGGGGGAAUUAUCUUUUGGGGGUAGAUGGGCCCCCAAAUUAACAAAAGGUUCAUAUAACUCUUCAAAUUGAGUUGAAGGACAUGAAAUAGUAACGGACAAAUAUACCCUUUAAGAACAUAUAUAAAAUAUUUUAUAAAAUUAAGUUAAAUAAUUUUUUUUCAAUAAUUUUUUAAAAAAAAUACUAAAUUAAAUAAAAAUAGUUUUCAAAAAUAUUAAAUUAAAUAAUUUUUUUUCAAAAAUAUUUAAUUUAAUAUUUUAAAAAAAUACUUUUAUGUAUUUUUAAAAAAUAUUAAAUUAAAUAAAAGUAUUUUAAAAAAUAUUAAAUUACAUAAAAGUAUUUUUUUAAAUAUUAAAUUAAAUAAAAAAUAUUAAAUUAAAUAAAAGUAUUUUUCAAAAAUAUUAAUUUUUUUUCUCAAAAUCAACAAAGGGUAUUUUUGGAAAUACUGAAGGAUGAUAUCCUUCAACUCAAUUUUCAUACUUUCAUUGGGUCUUGGGCUCAAUUUGAAGAGUUACAUGAACUUUUUGCUAAUUUGGGGGCCCAUCUACCCCCAAAACAUAAUUCUCCCUAUUUAUUAUAUAGUUGGGUUACAAAAGAAUAUUCUAUAUGAAAAGCCUAAUUGCCUAUUUAUUAAUGAUGCUUAUUCAUAUAAGGAAAUAUCGAAAUUGAUAUUUUCUUUGUAAAAAUAAAGAAGUCUUUACACAGAAAAUGUUAUAAUAAAAAACAAUUUAAAAAAAAAAUCAAUACAUCAAUUGAGAAAAUUUUUAAUACAAAACGUGUUUUUAUAAGUAAUAUAGAUUGAUAUAUUUAUAUUUAGCUUUGAUCAAUUAAUUAGAAAAACAAGUCUCCUAAGUUUGUUUGAUUUUUGCGCUUUUGAGACAUAUACUUGUUCAAUCGAGUUUAUUGACAAUUUUAUCAUAUGCAUUGAUUUUAUAUGCAAUAUGAGUUCGAUUAUAAAAUUAUAUAUAUUGCGGUGAUUAGUUUUAAAUGGUAGGUGUUAGGGAAGGAACUCAAGGAAGCGUGUACGUUUGCAUUUUUAGGAUGUUAACAAAAAUGCAUUUGAAAGAAAGUGAUAAGAUGAGGGGUUGAAUGCAAAAUGUUACGGAAGGUUUGGAAUUUGGAUCUAAUCUCAUUUCUUCUCAAUGUUUUUAGAAUUGGAACAUAAUUAAAUCGAAAAAGUUAUUUGUAUUUUUUUAAGAAAAUUAUUUAGUAAUGCAUUAUUAUUUUUGUUUUUUUCAUGUGGAAAUCAUAAUUACUGAUUAAAAUCAAAACCAUGAACUCUGCCAUAAUCAUUAAUUCUGGUUUUAACAUGGAAAAAAAAUUAAUAUGAAAAAAAUAACAAGUGGACGCUAAUACGACAAAAACUAAUAUUAGUUUGUUGAAUAUUUUGAAUGUAAUUUAUUUAUUUUUUGCAAAAAAUAUUACUUUUGCACAAACUUAGAAAAAUGUUGUAUUGUAGUUCAUCUCCGGGCACAAUCAAAGCUGCUAGGCAUGCCAAAUGUAGGGCGCCUCCCACGUUAAAUGCUCUAUUUUUUUCAUUUUAUUUAUUUAUUAAUUAUUAUUAAAGCAAUAGAUAAGAAUGAAAAAAUGACAAGUAAUUAAAGAUAUAUAGGUGAUAACUAUCCUUAAAUGUGAUUAUUCUUAUUAUUACUACUACUAUUGUUUGGCAAUACGUAGGGAUGACAAAAUGACAAGUGUAUAUAUAUAAAAAGAAAUUAAGGAUGGCAAAAUGAGAAGUGAUUAAAAAUAUAUAAACGAUCAUAUCUAUGCUUAAUUGUAAUUAUCUUAUUAUUAAUUAUUACUACUACUAUUUGGCAGGAAGUAAGGAUGACAAAAUGACAAAUAUAUAUAUUAUUUAAAGAUGGAAAAAUAAGAAGUGAAUAUAUAGGCGGUCAUACCUAUGCUUAAUUGUGAUUGUUCAUAUUAUUACUACUAUUACUAUUUGACAACAGGUAAAGAUGAUAAAAUGACAAGUGAUUAAAGAUAUAUAAGCGGUCAUACCUAUGAUUAAUUGUGAAUAUUCUUAUUAUUAUUACUGUUACUAUUUGGCAAUAAGUAAGGAUGACAAAAUAACAAGUAUAUAUAUAUAAAGAGAAAUUAAUUAAAGAUGGAAAAAUGACAAGUGAUUAAAGAUAUGUAAGUCGUUAAACCUAUACUUAAUUGUGAUUAUUCUUAUUAUUAUUACUAUUACUAUUUGGCAAUAGGUAAGGAUGACAAAAGGACAAGGGAUUAAAAAUGAUGGAGAAAAUGACAAGUGUGUGUAUAUAGAUAUAUAUAAAGAUAAAUUAAUUAAAGAUGAAAAAUGACAAGUGAUUAAAGAUAUAUAGGUCGGCAUCCCUAUACUUAAUUGUGAUUAUUCUUAUUAUUAUUACUAUUACUAUUUAGCAAUAGGUAAAAAUGACAAAAGGACAAGGGAUUAAAAAUGAAGGAGAAAAUGACAAGUGUGUGUAUAUAGAUAUAUAUAAAGAUAAAUUAAUUAAAGAUGGAAAAAUGACAAGUGAUUAAAGAUAUAUAGGUCGUCAUACCUAUACUUAAUUGUGAUUAUUCUUAUUAUUAUUGUUAUUACUAUUUGACAAUAAGUAAGGAUGACAAAAUGACAAAUUAUUGAAGAAUGAUGGAGAAAAUGACAAAUGUAUAUAUAUAUAUAAAGAUAAAUUAAUUCAAGAUGAAAAAAUGACAAGUGAUUAAAGAUAUAUAGGCCGUCAUACCCAUGGUUUUAAAAAUCAAAUAAGACCGACAAAUCACAAUUCCGAUUCGAUCCAAUGAAUUGAGUUAGAAAAUGGUUGAACUAGAUUUAGACCAAGUGAACUGACGGUUCGAUUGGCGAACCAGACGAACCGACUAGUUUAAUAUAAAAACUCAUUUUCAUCCCCAACCCACACACAGCAACUCCCCACGUGGUUGUCCAAGCUCUGAUCGCCCACUAUUGUCACCACCGAGCUGCUGUUGACGGCCAUUGGUUGGACGUUGCUCCCCCAACGGUAAAACACCAACCCCUUCCCUCCUAUGCCCCCCCCCAACUCCAUCGGUAGUAGUAGCAGCUCCAAAUUUAUUUUUUGAAUUUUAUUUUUUAUGUUUUAUAUUAAUAUUAUAUACUAUGGAUAAUAUGUUAAGUUAACAACUUUUUGAUAAUUUGAUCACUGUUAAUUUAUUGCUUAUAUUUGAAGGUAGGAUGACAAUUUGAGUAACAAAUUGUGAACUAGUAACUUUUUCAAUUUAAUGACUGAUUCUAAAAACAUUGGUCAUACCUAUACUUAAUUGUGGUUAUUUUUAUUAUUAUUACUAUUAUUAUCUAAUAAUAGGUAAGGAUGACAAAAUAACAAGUUAUUAAAGAAUGAUGGAGAAAAUGACAAGUGUAUAUAUAUAUAAAGAGAAAUUAAUUAAGGAUGGGAAAAUGACAAGUGAUUAAAGAUAUAUAGGCGAUCAUAGUUAUGCUUGAUUGUUAUUAUUCUUAUUAUUAUUACUGUUACUAUUUGACGGUAGGUAAUGAUGAUAAAAUGACAAAUGAUUAAAGAAUGAAUGACAAAAUGACUGGUAUAUAUAUAUAUAUAAUUAAAUAAAAAUGAAAUUAAAUAAGGAUGGAAAAAUUAGAAGUAAUUAAAAAUAUAUAAGUGAUCCUACCCAUGCUUAAUUGUGAUUAUUCUUAUUAUUAUUACUACUACUAUUUGAAAGUAGGUAAGGGUGAUAAAAUGACAAGUAAUUUAAAAAUGGCUUACAACUAGAGUGUAGCCGAUUCAUUGGUGGUGUAUAGGCCAUCAAUAUCAAUACAAAUGGGUACCAAUGUUUUAUUAUUAUUAUUAUUAAUUAUAAUUACUUUCAAAUGUUUUGAAAGGCACUCAUUAGGCAUUACCAUCUUGCUCUUUCCUAAUUAUAAAAUUCAAAUUAUUUCAAAAUUCCAUGCUUAAAUUCAAAUUAUCUUUUUAAAAGACAAUAUUUUAAUUGAUUUAUAUAUAUAUAUAUAUAUAUAUAUAUAUAUAUAUAUAUAUAUAUAUAAACUAUCAUAACUUUAAAAAUAAUUUGUUGACAAUUUUUUUAAAAUCUCAUAAAAUAAGACUAAUAUCUAGGAAUGAUAGUAAGGUUGGUUCUUUCAUGCAUUUCCUUCAAUUAUAUAUAGAAUUAAAUAGAAGAGAAAUUAAUUUCAUUUUUAUUUUCUCUUAUCCAAUACACAUAAAAAAAAAUGGCAUUUAUAAAAAUAAAUCAUAAAAAUAGAUAUUAUUUAUUUAUUUAUAAAUUAUAUUUAAUAUUAAUAUAAUAAAAUAAAAUUCCUAAAAAUAAAUGGGGUGGGGCAAGAUGGGGAAAUUCUCCAAUCACCAUCUACUGGCUUUAAAUUUUAUAUUUUUUUAGGAUAAUAAUGAAUAUAAAUUUAAAUAAUGGGAGCAAUGAGGUUGACGACUUGGAAUCCACCUUCCUACCAUUUAGUUGCAAAGAAGCGUGGAAUUUUACCCUUUCCAAAUCCAUACAAAGGGAAAAGUGGAGAACAAAUUCCACUUGCAUUUUUUCUCACAUUGUGUCUCAUAAAUUAUUUUGUGAAAUAAAUUGAGAAUCAUUUAACAUCAUAUAGGAGGAAAUUAAAAAUGAUUAUAAAAAAAUAAAAAUUUUAAAAAUAUUUUAUUUUUAUAUUUGAUAUAUUAAAUUAAAUGAUGAAAAUAAGUAUAAAUGUAUUAAUAUUUUAAAUUUUAUUAAAUAGAACAUAUAUAUAUAUAUAUAUAUAUAUAAUAUUUAAGUAUGAGGAUAAAUUUAAAAUAAAAAAAUUAUAAUAUUUAAUUUUAUUUACAUAUCUUUAUAUUUUUUUUUGAAAUUAUUAUAUUAAUUAAUUCAUAUUAUUUUUAUAAUUAUCAUUAUAUAAUUAUUAUAAAAAUAGAUGUGAAAAGGUUUUAUAUUUGAAAAGAAAAAAACUUGAAUAUUCUUAUAUAUUUUAAAAUCAUCGACCAAAGUUUAACCCCGACUGAAUUUUAAAACAUUGCUUCUUCUUUGACUUUGAAUCCUAUUUGUUAUUUUUAUUUUCUUUUCAUUUAGUAUUUGAUAUGUAGAUUACAAAAAAAUAAAAAUAAUUUAGAAGAUAAAUUCAUUCAAGAACAUACAUAAGCAUUAUGGUUAGGAACACAUUUCGACUGGUAACUUUAUAAAUAAAAACAAUCAAAUUUAAUAAUAUCUAAUCUCCUUAAUUUUUUAAAAAUAUAUUUAUUUUUAUUUUCAUUAUUUUUUUAAUAUAACUCAUAAUAAAGUAAUGGCCGUGGAACACUUAUUUUGUCAAUUUAUAAAGUUUUUUAUGUGGACUCGAAAUAUAUCAAUAUGCUAUAUUUUUAUUCUUGAUUUUAAUUUUUAAUUUUUAAUUUUCAAUAUUAUUAUAAAAAAAAAAUGUAAAAAAAUUGAGGUGGAGCAUGCAAGGUGUUGUUCCUCAAUGACGUUAGGAAAGCCGGCCUCAAUGCCGCGAGUAAAGCCGGCCUCAAUGCCGCUUGUCCCAACGGAAGAACAGUAAAACGACUUUAAUACCACACAUUUUCUUAUCCACUUGGAAACUAAGACCAUGUUUAAUUGAACAUGAUACGUAUAUCUUAAAAAUUAAAAUACAUAUAUCCUAAAAUAUAUGUUAAUGGAUAGGAUAUUAUAUUUUGGAUAUAUAAAUUUUAAAAUAUGAUAUUCUUAAAUGUAUAUAUUUUUAGAUGUACAUAUCCAAUGAAUAUGAUAUCUUUUUAUAUAUAUGCAUCAUAUUUUUAAAAUAACAUAUUUAAUGAUAUAUAUUAUAUUAUAUUUAAUGAUUAAAAUAAAUAAAAAAUAAUAUUAUAUAUAUAUAUAUUAUUUUUAAAUAUUUAAAAUGAAAACUAUAGUACAUUCAAAUAUUUUUAUUUUAAAAAAUAAAAUUUUAUUUAUGUUUAAUAAUUGACGAUUAAAAUAUUUAAACUUUGUAAAUAAAUUUUUUUAUAUUAUAAUAUUUAAUUUAUAAAAAUAAUAUAUAUAUAUAUAUAUAUAUAUAUAUAUAUAUAUAUAUAUAUAUAUAUAUAUCAUAUAUUAAUAUUAUUUUAUAAUUUUUUUUUAGUUUUUUUUAAUCUAAAUUUUAAUUUAUAAUAAAAAUUUAGUUGUGUAAAAUGAGUAUAUUAAAAAAAAUAGAAAUAAAAAUUGAUAAAAAUUAAAAUUUUGAUACGAUAUGUAUAUUUCAUAUUAAUAUAUUUCAUAAGAAAUCACGAAUAAUAAAAAAAUGGUUAAUAUAUCAAAUUUCAUAUUUAAUUGAAAAUGGGAUAAAUUAUAAUAUUUCAUUAUGAUUUAUCCCACAAACCAAACAUACCCUACAACUUUCUUCUCUCAUCUCUCUCAUCCACCCUCUCCACGGGGCCAGACCCCUUCAGCGACAGAUCAUCUUCUUCCUUGCGCGCAUAUAUAUAUAUAUAUAUAUAUACCCACCCCAUAUGGAACCAGCCUUCACCGCACCGUAAACACCGAUCCUCACGUACAACUCCACAGCUCCAUACAAUCAUACGUUCUUCCAACACCGCCUUCCCAACACCACGCCAUCAUCACCUCUCAGAGCCCGUAAUUAUCAUUCUGGGGCGACACCCAUACAGCUCACAGCCUCACCACCACAAUCAUCACUUCUGAGAGCCCAUAGCACCACUGCGCCUCAGCCCACGCAGCACCACACANNNNNNNNNNNNNNNNNNNNNNNNNNNNNNNNNNNNNNNNNNNNNNNNNNNNNNNNNNNNNNNNNNNNNNNNNNNNNNNNNNNNNNNNNNNNNNNNNNNNGCCGGCACCACUAUGCCUCUGAACAAAAACAACAUCGCAGGCACCACUAUGAAACCGAGCAAUAAAACAGUGCAGGCACCACUAUGCCACCGAACAAAAACAACAUCGCAGGCACCACUAUGAAACCGAGCAAUAACAACAGUGCAGGCACCACUAUGCCACCGAACAAAAACAAGAUCGCAGGCACCACUAUGAACCCGAGCAAUAACAACAGUGCAGGCACCACUAUGCCACAGAGCAAUAACAAGUACUACUCCCUCUAUUGUCGUACAUUUUGGUUUGUUCGAUUGAGUGAGUUAAUUUUGUUUGGCAUUGCUGUAGGUUAGCUUUAUUUGCUUCACUUUGCAACCAUUGUGGUGGUGAUGACUUAUGAAUGGGAGAAUUGAACGGGCUUUUAAAAGGGGUAAUUUGUAAUAUU